rnacentral:lncRNA from 1 species
UUUCUUUUUCGUUCCCACGUUCUGGUUGGUGCUGGUGUAGAUUUUCUUCUUCAAUAAAAUACAUAGAAGCAAAUCAGACUGGUUGCAAAUAUCAUGCUACUUCACCAGAAAUUAUGUUUUCCAACUGAAAUCAUUUUUGUUUACUAGGCGCUAGCUAUCCCUGACAACAAGGUAAGAGACAUGUUGUUUCCAACUCACCCUUAGUUACAGUUGAGAUACUUGCACAAAAGACGUCUGCAAAUGUUUUAUUUUCUUAACAUUGUUUUAUCAUAUGCUUUCAUAAUUUCAUCAGGAAAGAGAUGCAUAUGAGAGGAAGAGAGCCUCCCCCAAGCUCUGUCUAGGCGAUGCACGAGAAAUUUGGAAACUAUCAAGGAGAUGUCCAAUGAUGAAUAUACUCAGACACUGAGAUACAUUCUAAAACGUGUUUACGCAGGUUUGUCCUGAUCAUCCUUAUUUUUAAACCCGAAACAUUCUUUAUUAUUGACGGGUUCUCUAUAAUCCCAUGUUUGUGAAUUCAAUUUCUUAGUUUGAUUGAGAGUACUUAAGUUAAUGUGCAUGUAUACUUUUCUAGAUCAUAUAUUAAUAGGUUGGACUCUUCAUGUACACUAAAUGUGAAACUCAUUAUGAUUCGGAAGUCCUGAUAGCUUGUGAGAUAGUUGAUGUAUUUUAUAAGUCAUGCAAUUUGUUGUUAGCAACAUGUACCUGCAGAUUUGGGGUAAUUUCCAUUUCAACAUUGUUUUUGUUCUCAGACAUUUUGGAUCAUACUAAGAUACUUCAGAGAGAUGUCCCAGAUUUAUUCUUUUGAAUUUCACUAAUUUCUUUCAAUGGCUUCAGAUUCACCAGUGCGUUCGUUGCUGCCAUUUUGAGUUACUAUUGGUACCUAUGAUUUGGAUCAUUAACAGUUCAAUUUGUUUAGGUGAUGGGGCUGCCGCCAACUUGGGCCUGCUCAAGAACAGCGACUCUACAGGAGGGGGAUGGAGUCACGGAAGCUCCUGUGCUAUUGGGAGCGACGGUUCCACAAUGAGCCGGUCUUUUGUCACAUCUGAGUUGGAGGAUGUCCAAGGCUGGAAGUGUUCGUCACCACUAAGCCGCGGUAAGUAAGGAAUUUUCCAGAGAGUGGUGGAUGAAAUUUUUUUCUCCAAAUGGUGGUGAAUCUAUGCAUGUGUGUACUUUCAUGGCCUUUUUGUGCUUGAUCCAUCCAUUUUACAUUAUAAAUUGAUUGUAUCAGCUGCUGCAGCGAUGAUGGAUUGUAUUGUAUCAAACCUUCUGGUUAACUGAUGUUGGAGCCAUGGAAUAAAUGCUAGCAUCCAAUCAGGAUUUAAAAGCGAAAGCAUGAUCUUAGUUUAGUUAUGUGCGUAAAAAAGCUCAUGUACAUAUGUGACUUAAAUAUGUAGCGGCAGUCUCGCACAAAGGAAGAGAGAAGAUAAAUUGAUGUCAAUGAAUUGUGAAUGGAAAUAAAAACACCAGACUGAAUUAUGUACUCUUUUUUUCCUAGCUUAAAUUAUUUAUUGAGAUUGUACUACACCCUGUUAUUCUAAUUUUAUACACUUCUUUCUUUCCCAAAAAUAUAUUAAUUGGUUCUUAGCUUCCUAAAACUCAGGAAUAUUUUAUCUUUCUCAUACAUUUUAAUUCAUUUUAUGCAGGCUGAGAUAAUACUGACGCGAUGUCCAGAUUUGGAUGUCUCAUCUCUGAACAGUUGAAACGCCGAGUACUCCAUGAAAGCUUGCCUAGCGGCUUUUGCGCAAUAUUAUAUCUUUGGACGUUUGCACUUCCGCGGCUCUAGACAUGAGCUUCCUUAUAUGGUAAGAAAAUGCUGGUCAAGAGCUCGAUUCAGCUUGUGGAAAUAAAUAAUCUCCCAUAUUUAUUAAAUUUGCUUGCUUUGGCAUGUUACUUUAUCUAUAUUUGAAAUAGGAUAUUCUUUGAUAUGUAAUUUUAGGAAAUAGUUGGUUUUCAAUCUUUUUGCUUGAGAUUCAGAAGAUCCAAAACUGCCUCAUACAAUGGCUACUCUAAUCAAUAAAAUGAGUUACAUAUAUAUUCAGAAACUAUGUUGAUCAGGCUACUUAUAUGCAUUGGAAAACCAUUAGAUUCCUUGUUGCAUUAACAUUGGCAUCCACGGUUACUUCUCUGUACAUAUUUAAAAUGUAGAUAAAAUGUAUAUCCUCUAGCUCUCAUGUGUUUUAGUCUCUCUUUUCUCUUUAUUCAAUUGAGGAGAAGCUUGUCCAAUAUCGUUUGAGAUUGUUUGGGCAUAUUCAGCGCAGGCCUCCAGAAGCUCCAGUGCAUAGCGGACGGCUAAAGCGUGCGGAGAAUGUCAAGACAGGGCGGGGUCGACCGAUUUUGACAUGGGAGGAGUCCGUUAAGAGAGACCUGAAGGAUUGGAGUAUCGACAAAGAGCUAGCUAUGGACAGGGGUGCGUGGAAGCUUGCUAUCCAUGUGCCAGAGCCAUCAGUUGGUUGCGAGAUCUUAUGGGUUUCACCUCUAGCCUACCCCAACUUGUUUGGGACUAAAGGCUUUGUUGUUGUUGUUGUUGUUGUUGUUGUUCUCUUUAUGUUGUAUCACCAAUGAUGAGAAAGAGAUCAGGGGCCAUGGAGAGGGAGAGAGAGAGGUCUAAAUGAUUGUAGCCAUACCAGUUUCAUGUUUCCAUGUAUGACAUUAUACUAGAUAGAAAACAGUAACUUUGUGUGGGUUGAUUAUACUAAAUACUUCUAACAUAAUAAUCUACAUGUAUCAAUUGUUGCCCAUUACUUGCGUACACACUAUACCAUAGUAUUUUAGUAGUGCACCCUAUAAAAAAAGCAUCAAUGCAUAUGAUCCCUUAUAUCUCACUUCUUGCUUUACAUGUGAUUUUCUACCUUCAAAAGGUAACAUGAGCACCUUGAUUUCCUAUCUUUUUAGACACAUAUUUCUUUCAGGGGUUAUUUUUCAAACAUCCACAACUCCUGCCUCUUACUUAAUACACUACAUUAUUAAAGCUUCCCAAAGACAGUACAUGUUUAAAAAAGUUUAUAUCUUUUAGUUUUACAAGCUCCCUAAAACUAAACCGCUGUGGAAUAGGUGUACCUGCCUGCUUUAAAAUGUGAGCUACUUAUAUAGAUAUUUUUUUCCUCAUCAUUCUUAAGUAUUUCCCCUAAAACUGGGUUAUGCAUAGAUGAUGACUGCUACAACUCAAAGUAAAUAUUCUGAACCUAACUAAAGGGUUCUGAUGAUGGUGGCACAGGCACUAGCAAGUAUCUAAUGCAUAUACAUGACUUCAUAUUAUUUAUCUUAUUCACAUUCACAUACUAAUAUAUUCAUGAUUUUUUUUUUUGCAUUGUAGAGUGCUAGCGCGCUACAUUGCAGAGAAAGCUUUGAGAAAAUGCUUUGUUGGGAUGAUAGACAAGAAUAAUCAAUCCUCAUUCCAAGGUUAGAUUUGUACUUCCUUCCCAGUUCUUCUUUACAAAGGACCAAUCCUCUUACUUUAUCCAUUCAUGUUGUCUUAAUUUUGUUCCUUCAUGGAAAAACAUUUUCUCAUUUCAAUCUUUCUCCAUUUGGUAUGAGUAUGGCACAUGCUCUUAAUUUUUUGACUAUUCUUGGUUGAUUAAUGGUUGGUGUAUUGCCUUCCACUUUGGAUUUCUCAAUCCUCUUGCUUAGGCUACGUGUACCAUUCUGUCACAUGCCGCCAUCGAUCUGAGCAAAAAUUAGUGUAGAUGAACCGAGCUAUUUUAUUGUAAGCUGUGUACAGAACUUCAUGGGAAAAUAAUCAUGUAGUUAAUGUUUUAUGAGAGCGGCGUUACUGAGAGCGGCAGCAGCUGAACACUUUAUCAUGUUCAUUGGUCCACUUCUAGAGAUAUGCGCUAGUGGGGCCAUAUCAGAGAAUACGGUCGUGGUAAAACGAAUCUGAUGCCGGAAUACGGUUGUGAACAGUUCUGUACGACAGCUGGCUGGCACAUUGUAGGAGCGUGCCGUGAUGGCAAUGAGCCGGUCCGUGGCUCAGCUCCGUUGCGAGAAUGUGGUCCUCCGAACAGACACGCACGGCACCGUCUGAUGGAAAAAGGCGCCGUCACCGCCGCAGUAAAUGAUGUAUGCGUUGGGCAGGUGCGGGGCAACCCAGAGAUAUGACGGUCUUCUCCCAACAAUGAGCAANNNNNNNNNNNNNNNNNNNNNNNNNNNNNNNNNNNNNNNNNNNNNNNNNNNNNNNNNNNNNNNNNNNNNNNNNNNNNNNNNNNNNNNNNNNNNNNNNNNNNNNNNNNNNNNNNNNNNNNNNNNNNNNNNNNNNNNNNNNNNNNNNNNNNNNNNNNNNNNNNNNNNNNNNNNNNNNNNNNNNNNNNNNNNNNNNNNNNNNNNNNNNNNNNNNNNNNNNNNNNNNNNNNNNNNNNNNNNNNNNNNNNNNNNNNNNNNNNNNNNNNNNNNNNNNNNNNNNNNNNNNNNNNNNNNNNNNNNNNNNNNNNNNNNNNNNNNNNNNNNNNNNNNNNNNNNNNNNNNNNNNNNNNNNNNNNNNNNNNNNNNNNNNNNNNNNNNNNNNNNNNNNNNNNNNNNNNNNNNNNNNNNNNNNNNNNNNAUUAUCCCAAACCCUACCAAGUGAAGACGGCGCAAGUUCCACAAAUGGCAGAGGAGGGAAGUGCGACGAUGUGUGCGGAAGAAUUGCAGAACGGGCUUGAAUUUCUGCUAGAUCCAGUCGACAGGUACGACGUAUAUCUGACCACUCUGUUCUUCUGGUCGCAUAGAUGAACAACCGAUGGAAAAAUGCUGACUGCUUCUUGUUUUCCCCCCCUGGAUCCAUAGAUUUCCGCUGAAUGAGGUCACCGCCGACGUUGAGCGGCCAGAUCCGCUGGUGCUGGUGGACGUCCGGCGGUCGGCGAGCAACUGCCGACUCAUCUUCCGCAAGUGUAUUUGGUCAUAUCGGCGCUUCAACUCACCAUGUCAGAUCCCCUUGCAAGAGGCCGCUCUCACCAACGAAAUAUGCUGAGUCCACUGGGAAGGUUAACCCAGAGGCACCAGGGCGGACGAGGAGGUACAUAACUGAAUCAUGGAAUUUUUUUACAAAAUGGGUACAAUUUCAGUAGAGUAGUAGAUAAUCCUCUGCAGAAAAAAUUAGUGUCAGCUAUGGUGAUGCAAAAAAUAGAAAAAUGUCUUAUUUUUUCAUGACUAGUGAUAAACUCCUGAGAUAAUAUAUAACAUUCACAAACUAAAAAGUGAGCCUCCCUCAAAUUUCAGGCUUCGAAUUGGGCGCGCUCCCCUUGAUAGAGUUCCGUGUGCUGGUAGAGUAACUCCAUUGGAAGAAACCAUAAGGAGAUAUGCCGACAAACCUACAGAAAGUGUAGUAAAGCCGCAGAUUGGGAUGAGUUUUGAUUCCCUUGGGGAAGCUUAUGAUUUUUAUAAUCUAUAUUCGUGGGAGCUUGGAUUUGGUAUACGAUAUGGCAAGAGUCGUCUCAAUGUUGAGAGGACUAAAUGUAUGCAAGAGAUUGUUUGUGGAUGCUCGGUCAGCAACAAGAAACUCACUUGUUUUUAUAUACUUUUGCGAAAUAUCGUGACCUCUGCAAUUUCAUAUCGAACUGUCUGACAUGUGAAAGAAAAUGUUUGCAGGGGAAACUUGAGCAGCAGAAUAGCAGAUCUUGCCGUUGCGAGUGCCCUGCGAUGGUGAGGUUACUAAGAGCUGCAGACAAUGGAUGGUACAUUGCUGAGCACCGGGCAAGCCACAAUCAUUCGCUAUCUCUUACAUGCGGGGAAAAGGUUCACUGGCCAUCCCACAAACACACAGAUGUGUACACAAAGGAUCUCGUGAAACAGCUUAGGGAAAACAAUCUGAACCUCAACAAGGUGUAUAGCAUAGUUGGGAGCUUCUUCGGAUCAACACAGAGCGUGCCUUUUACAAAAAGGUCAUUGCGCAAUCUGUGCGGGAGAAUAAGCAGAGACCAAGCUGAUGAUGAUGUCAACAAAACCCUUGCCGUCUUCAAAGAGAUUCAGCAGAACGACCCGGAAUUCACAUAUAGGGUCUAGGGUGACGAGGAAAGCAGAAUAAAAAACCUUAUGUGGACAAAUGGAAACAUCAAGCUGCAGUACAAGUUCUUUGGCGAUGUUGUCACAUUCGAUACAACAUACCGGACAAACUUGUAUGACAUGCCAUUUGGUUUGUUCGUGGGAGUGAACAAUCACUUCCAAAGCAUAAUACUAGCUGGAGUGCUGAUGCGCGAUGAACAAGUAGAGAGCUUCCAAUGGGUAUUUUCUGAGUUCAUCAACAUGAUGGGCGGGAAACACCCGCAGACAAUAUUGACAGGUUUGUGCCAAUCUAAGCAAAAAAAUGCAUUUCCUGGUGUCUAUUAUUAGAUAAUUUCACAUAUUUGAGUCUGUUCUAAUAUGUUGUACAAUUUGUAGACCAAGCACGAGCCAUGGAGAUAGCAAUCCAAAGCGAGCUCCCUAAUACUGUCCACAGGUGGUGCAAGUGGCAUGUGCUUAAAAAGGCAAAAGAAAGCCUUGGCCCUCUGUACACAAGCAAGAGCGAGUUCAGGGCUGAGUUCCACAAAGUGGUGAAUCACAUGAUAAGCGUGGAGGAAUUUGAGAUGGCAUGGGGUUCACUUGUAGAGAAAUAUAAUCUGAAAUCCCACAAUUACAUGACAAACCUGUACGAGAUACGACACAAGUGGGCUAAGCCAUACUUCAAGGGAGUGUUCUGUGCAAAAAUGACCAGCACUCAGCGUAGCGAGAGCGCCAACAACAUGCUUAAGAUUUACAUGCCGCCAGCUAGCCCAAUGCAUGUAUUCGUGCGUCAGUACAUGAGGCUUCAAUUCGACCGUGAAUCAGAUGAAAGCUACCAGGAAAAAAGAACAAGGAUUGUGAGCUAGCUUUACUUGUGUUUUUGUAGAGUGUGUGAUUCUACUCGAUAGAAGCAAAGACUAACUUAUCUAUUUUUUUUGUUUGGUCCUGUCACAGAGUGGUGCUGUCAUGAGGACAAACAUUGCUAUCGAAAGGCACGCAAGUAAGGUUUAUACACGAAAGAUGUUUGAAAUAUUUGGUGAAAAUCUGUAUGAGGGUGGAUCUUACCAAGUUGAAGAAGUGGAGAGGAAAAAGAAAUACAUUGCAAGGCACAAUGACGCCGAAAAACGGGAAAGGUGGAGCAAGGUUGAAUAUGUGGUGACCAUAUCCGACGAUGGGGAGUGGUUUGAUUGUGAAUGCGGGCAGUAUGCACACAUGGGGAUGCUUUGUUGCCAUGCAUUAAAGGUUAUUUGGACUCUCUGCUCAACUACAUAAUAACUGGUGCCACAAAAAAAUUUGGUAACAAUCAUGUGGACUAACUAACUAGCUUUUCACGUUGAAUCAGGUGAUGGACCACAUUGGCGUGCAGGAGAUACCUAAACGGCACAUUCUAAAAAGGUGGACAAAAGAUGCUAGGGACAUAUUGCCACAACACAUUGCUCACUUCCAGAAAGAUCAAGCUGCUAAUCAGUCCUUAACCUGUCGGAGUUCGACUCUGUACCUGCAUGCUAUGGAACUCGUGAGGAUUGGAGACUCGUCGGUAGCUGCCUACGAGCUAGUACUAACAAAGGUAAAAGACCUGAUCGUUGAGGCAUCUCCGUUAGCUGAAAACAGAGAUGGUCUUGGAAUUGAGGAUAGGAUAGUUGCAGAAGCAAGCAAAAAGAAAAAUGGCUCAGUAAUGGCGGUGGGAAGCAUCGAUCCGGAGGUGGCCGCAAAUGAGAACAGCGUAACCGCAUCUGGCAACUGGGAUGCGCUCGCUGUACUGUCAGCUGCAGCAAAAAAACGAGGUGUAGGUAGACCAUGCUCAAGCAGAGAGAAAGCACCGUAUGAAGGCCUGAGCAAGAGGACGAGAUUCUGCAGUAUAUGUAAGCUUCCAGGGCACAAGAGGACUACAUGUCCAGAUCGCGGUGAUGUUCCUAAACAACCUCGCAAGCCUGCCACUUGCAAGAAUUGCGGUGUCACAGGGCACCGGCGCACCUCGUGCACUAGGCCGCUCGUGCCCAACGCAUGAUACAAUUUACGUUGCAACCAUGUAGACGUAGAGUACUGGUGGAUUUUUCCAACUGUGUUGCAUUUUUAUGAAUUUCCAUAUUUGCUUGUACUGACUGUAACCUCUGUUCUGAAUAAUCUGUUAUGUUUGAACCGAGACCUAUGUAGAAAUCCACAAGGACUGUACGGUCCUUCAUUGUGAAAUGGCUAGAUAGAUGUUGGGCCCUUCAGAACUGUAUGCUGUGUCUGAACAAUGAACGUAUAGCAUCAUCUUGCGUUUUCGGCCGCUCUGUAAACCCGUAGAUGACCGCGCUGUGCGACGUCAUUUGACCGCCCAAAUCCCCCAUGACGGAUGUUUGGCCACAAGUGCCUGAGUUUGGAAAUGAAAUCGGCGAAUGUGAGUGCUUCCCGGCUGGCAUUUUUGAACAUAUGGGGAGCCGUUAGGAACUUAAAUGAGUCUUCACACGUGUCCAUGUUUGUGCCCUCAUGUGAGCACGCGUAUGCGGCCGUGGUUUCAAAAUUCAAACCGCGGAUGGCGCUUCCGCUAGGUUGGCCUCGCUGUACUUAAUGGCGUGGACAGGGGAGAGCUGUACCCAAAAACAGAUCGUCUGAUGUACUUCAAGGUUCAAGCAGCUCGGCGGAGCAGCCAUGGCGCCGGUGGUGAGCGACGACCUUGGAUCCGUGUCAGCAAGUCUUCUUGAUCACACGGCAACUCCGUUGACCAGCUCUGAAGAGGUAAGUGAAAUAUGUGGCUUCCGUUAUUGUGAAAACAAAUCCUGUUUGCUCCCAGUCCCGUGGUUGAAUCUGAAACUGCUUUUUAGGAUCCAUCCCAGCUGAUGCCACCCCCAGAAGUUCAUGCUGCAUCGGAUGCUCUGAGCUGCAAUGCACAGCAAAGUGCACCUAUGGGUGAUCAGGCGGAGACAAGUUUUGCAAAUGAUUGCCCCCAAAACACACCAAAGCUUCUGUACAUCNNNNNNNNNNNNNNNNNNNNNNNNNNNNNNNNNNNNNNNNNNNNNNNNNNNNNNNNNNNNNNNNNNNNNNNNNNNNNNNNNNNNNNNNNNNNNNNNNNNNNNNNNNNNNNNNNNNNNNNNNNNNNNNNNNNNNNNNNNNNNNNNNNNNNNNNNNNNNNNNNNNNNNNNNNNNNNNNNNNNNNNNNNNNNNNNNNNNNNNNNNNNNNNNNNNNNNNNNNNNNNNNNNNNNNNNNNNNNNNNNNNNNNNNNNNNNNNNNNNNNNNNNNNNNNNNNNNNNNNNNNNNNNNNNNNNNNNNNNNNGUCAGGAGGAGGGGUUUGGCGAGCACGAUCCAGAUGAGAUAAGCGAGCUGGUUGAGCUUGGUUCAGGGGAGGUGGAUGACGGUGAAAACUCUGCUGCGGAGAGGAUCACAAAUACUGAAUCCGAUGGAGAAGAUGAAGUCUGCAGCCAUCCGCUAAAGCGUGCUCGUGUGUGUGGUGAGGAGCACAUGCGCGUAUAACUAAACAUUGGUGUGCUGAGUGUGUGCAUGCAUGGUAAUAUCUCAUUACCACAAAAAUAUGUUGGAAGGUUUAUGUCUGCAUCCAUCACCUAAAGUGUGCUCGUGGUGAGGACCACGAGCGCGUAUAGCUACAGUUAGUGUGCUGAGUGUGUGCAUGCAUGGUAAUAUCUCAUUACCACAAUUAUGUUGGACGGUUUAUGUCAAUUACGAUGUGUGUCCUAAUCCUAAGUUGCUUGUGUGUUGGUGGAAAAUGAAAAUAUCGUGUCAUGUUGUAGAGAAAGACACUGUUUCCUUUUCCCCCACGGUGCUGAACUGCGAUGAGACGAAUGAGAAAACAAAAACAAUGAAUAUUAAAACAGGGACAGAUAUGAAUUGUUUCAGGCGUGUUAGGAAAAAAACAAGUAUUUGAGCAAAGAAAAUAUGGCUACUGAUGAUGUUGUCAUGCCACGUCGUGUGCAAAAUUGUCAAUUCGACUCCACCAUAGACUAUUGAUAUGAACAGACAAUCGGCAUCCAUCCUUGUUUGGGAGAAUGGGAGUUCCCACCGAGGGGAUGGGUGGGGGACCUCACCACCAACCACACCCACCCCGAACACACACCCCACCUCGUCCCCCUGAUACAGCACAAAUCCCUUGAGUGAAGGCACCGCGUUUAUGAAAAGAGUGCACCAAAAAACGUCAGAACUAACACGUGUAGAUGAGGUAAGAAGUAAACAAAUAUCGGGAUUAAAAGGUUUGGUGCCGACGAUCAUUACAAGCCACGCGAUCUAACAUGUGGUGUGGCAUUGAAAAAUGUGAAUUAUAGAUUGGUUCACUGAAGUGAGAUGAAGUGUCAAUCGGUAGCUCUCAAUGGUGCGAAAAACGGUUUAAUGGCGGGAAAGAAUAUCAUCGUCAUCUCCGAUGUAUGAAGUGAAGCAUUGGGACCACCGAAUCAUCCAUGCUACAUCUCAAGUAGUUUCCUCUUUCGACUGUUAUGGAGAACACAAUAAAAGAAAAUGAAAGAAAUAUUGGAGAAAGAGACGUUGCGGGGGUGGUUCACAAUUAGGGCUAAGUUUUGUUGUUGGGGAUGGUAAACCCCGGGCAAUAAACCACCAAGGGGGUGAUUUCAUUGCACACUUGAGAUCCUCAGUUAAAUCAUCGUUGGUAUUUGGACAAUAAAAUGAAGAAACAAGGGGAAGAGGAUGAGGGGGCUUACCACAGGCGGAUAGGGAAAGCGCGGCCGGAGUUUCGUCGCGCUAGGGAGAGAAGCUCGCGUUGUACUUAUAUCCCGGCGCCUUGGGGUCACAAGAACCAGCGAAGUAGGGUUUCCCUUGACAGACCAUCAGGGGCGUGGGCAUCUCACCCAGUAAGAGGCCAUGGGGAGAGCCGAUCGUCCCUCACCCAGAUGGGUCUCCUAAGUGUACACUGUAAAUCCCGCCCAUGGUUUCUCGGGCCGGAAAAAUAAGCAGGGGUUCCCCCGGGAUCUGGAUGUACAAAAGGAGACCUUAACUUUAAAACGACCUAAAUCAAAUCUUUCCUCCAUUCAUUUUUGCGAAAUUCCUUUUUGUUUAUUUUCUUGUUAUUAAAUAAAAAUUGUCAAGUCGAUCCUGCCAUAGUCUAUUGAGAUGAAUAGACAACCGGGAUCCCUCCUUGUUUGGAAGAAUGGGAGUUCUCGUUGAGGGUUGGGGAGGGGACCCUACCACAAAGCACACCAANNNNNNNNNNNNNNNNNNNNNNNNNNNNNNNNNNNNNNNNNNNNNNNNNNNNNNNNNNNNNNNNNNNNNNNNNNNNNNNNNNNNNNNNNNNNNNNNNNNNNNNNNNNNNNNNNNNNNNNNNNNNNNNNNNNNNNNNNNNNNNNNNNNNNNNNNNNNNNNNNNNNNNNNNNNNNNNNNNNNNNNNNNUGAGUAAAAACAUCCCCUUUUUGGAAAGGGUGCACCGAAGAACCAGCAGAACUAACACACGUAGACGAGGCUUCAUGGGCGCAUUGUUGCAAACAACAUACGAUACCUGAUGUUGCACCAUGAGCGGGUAGAUCAUCGCGUGCAUUGUGCCACCAUGCAAAAAAACAUCGUCAGUAUAAGUAAAUGAACAUCGCAUGCGUUAUCGCCCUAACCUAUUCAGCGCACUUUCGCCGUCAGCAAACAUUUUAAUCAUGAUAAGUUUGUUUGCUUCUUACCUCGUAAGAGGAGAACAACAUGAACCACGAGAAAACACAUCUUGUUGUUGGGGGGGGUAUUGAUGUUUUCCUCUUACGAGGUAAGAUGUAAACAAACUUAUCGUGUUUAAAAAUUUUGCUGCCGGCGAUCAUGACAUUGUUGGGGAAUGUAGUAAUUUCAAAAAAAUUCUACGCACACGCAAGAUCAUGGUGAUGCAUAGCAACGAGAGGGGGAGUAUGAUCUACAUACCUGGUAGAUCGACAACGAAAGCGUUUGGUUGAUGUAGUCGUACGUCUCCAUGAUCCGACCGAUCAAGCACCGAAACUACGGCACCUCCGAGUUCUAGCACACGUUCAGCUCGAUGACGAUCCCCGGACUCCGAUCCAGCAAAGUGUCGGGGACGAGUUCCGUCAGUAUGACGGCGUGGUGACGAUCUUGAUGUACUACUGCUGCAGGGCUUCGCCUAAGCACCGCUACAAUAUUAUCGAGGAUUAUGGUGGCUGGGGGCGCCGCACACGGCUAAGAAUAAGAUCACGUGGAUCAACUUGUGUGUCUAUGGGGUGCCCCUUGCCUCAGUAUAUAAAGGAUGAAGGAGGAGGAGGCCGGCCAAGGCUUGGUGCGGCCAGGAUGUGGAGUCCUACUAGGACUCCAAGUCCUAGUAGGAGUCCACCAAGAGGGGAGGAAGGGAGAAGGAAGUGGAGGAGAAGGAAAGGUGGCCGGCCCCCUUUUCCCUAGUCCAAAUCGGACCAGAGGGGAGGGGGGGCGCAGCAGCCCCUUGGCCCUUUCUCCUCUUCCCACUAAAGCCCAUCAAGGCCCAUUGCUUCUCCCGUAACUACCCGGUACUCCGAAAAAUACCCGAAUCACUCGGAAUCUUUCCGAUGUCCGAAUAUAGUCGUCCAAUAUAUCAAUCUUUACGUCUCGACCAUUUCGAGACUCCUCGUCAUGUCCCCGAUCUCAUCCGGGACUCCGAACUCCUUCAGUACAUCAAAACUCAUAAACUCAUAAUAUAACUGUCAUCGAAACCUUAAGCGUGCGGACCCUACGGGUUCGAGAACAAUGUAGACAUGACCGAGACACGUCUCCGGUCAAUAACCAAUAGCAGGACCUGGAUGCCCAUAUUGGCUCCUACAUAUUCUACGAAGAUCUUUAUCGGUCAGACCGCAUAACAACAUAAGUUGUUCCCUUUGUCAUCGGUAUGUUACUUGCCCGGGAUUUGAUCGUCGGUAUCCAAUACCUAGUUCAAUCUCGUUACCGGCAAGUCUCUUUACUCGUUCCGUAAUACAUCAUCUCGCAACUAACUCAUUAGUUGCAAUGCUUGCAAGGCUUAAGUGAUGUGCAUUACCGAGAGGGCCCAGAGAUACCUCUCCGACAAUCGGAGUGACAAAUCCUAAUCUCGAAAUACGCCAACCCAACAUUUACCUUUGGAGACACCUGUAGAGCUCCUUUAUAAUCACCCAUUUACGUUGUGACGUUUGGUAGCACACAAAGUGUUCCUCCGACAAACGGGAGUUGCAUAAUCUCAUAGUCAUAGGAACAUGUAUAAGUCAUGAAGAAAGCAAUAGCAACAUACUAAACGAUCGGGUGCUAAGCUAAUGGAAUGGGUCAUGUCAAUCAGAUCAUUCACCUAAUGAUGUGAUCCCGUUAAUCAAAUAACAACUCUUUGUCUAUGGUUAGGAAACAUAACCAUCUUUGAUUAACGAGCUAGUCAAGUAGAGGCAUACUAGUGACACUCUGUUUGUCUAUGUAUUCACACAUGUAUUAUGUUUCCGGUUAUACAAUUAUAGCAUGAAUAAUAAACAUUUAUCAUGAAAUAAGGAAAUAAAUAAUAACUUUAUUAUUGCCUCUAGGGCAUAUUUCCUUCAGUCUCCCACUUGCACUAGAGUCAAUAAUCUAGAUCACAUCACCAUGUGAUUAACUUCGAUAGUUCACAUCAUCAUGUGAUUAACACCCAUAGUUCUCAUCGCCAUGUGACCAAUACCCAAAGGGUUUACUAGAUUCAGUAAUCUAGUUCACAUUGCUAUGUGAUUAACACCCAAAGAGUACUAAGGUGUGAUCAUGUUUUGCUUGUGAGAGAAUCUUAGUCAACGGGUCUGCCAUAUUCAGAUCCGCAUGUAUUUUGCAAAUUUCUAUGUCAACAAUGCUCUGCUUGGAGCUACUCCAGAUAAUUGCUCCCACUUUCAAUAUGUAUCUAGACCGAGACUUAGAGUCUUCUAGAUCAGUGUCAAAAACUUGCAUCGACGUAACCCUUUACGACGAACCCUUUUUGUCACGUCCAUAAUCGAGAAACAUAUCCUUAUUUCACUAAGGAUAAUUCUGACCGCUGUCCAGUGAUCUACUCCUAGAUCACUAUUGUACUCCCUUGCCAAAUCAGUGCAGGGUAUACAAUAGAUCUGGUACACAGCAUGACAUACUUUAUAGAACCUAUGGCCAAGGCAUAGGGAAUGACUUUAAUUCUCUUUCUAUCUUCUGCCGUGGUCGGGCUUUGAGUCUUACUCAACUUCACACCUUGUAAUACAGGCAAGAACUCUUUCUUUGACUGCUCCAUUUUGAAUUACUUCAAAAUCUUGUCAAGGUAUGUACUCAUUGAAAAAACUUAUCAAGCGUCUUGAUCUAUCUCUAUAGAUCUUGAAGCUCAAUAUGUAAGCAGCUUCACCGAAGUCUUUCUUUGAAAAACUCCUUUCAAACACUCCUUUAUGCUUUACAGAAUAAUUCUACAUUAUUUCCGAUCAACAAUAUGUCAUUCACAUAUACUUAUCAGAAAUGCCGUAGUGCUCCCACUCACUUUCUUGCAAAUACAGGCUUCACCGCAAGUCUGUAUAAGACUAUAUGCUUUGAUCAACUCAUCAAAGCGUAUAUUCCAACUCCGAGAUGCUUGCACCAGUUCACAGAUGGAUCGCUGGAGCUUGCACAUUUUGUUAGUACCUUUCAGAUUGACAAAACCUUUUAGUUGCAUCGUAUACAACUCUUCUUCAAUAAAUCCAUUAAGGAAUUUAGUUUUGUUUAUCCAUUUGCCAGAUUUCAUAAAAUGUGGCAAUUGCUAACAUGAUUCGAACAGACUUAAGCAUAGAUACGAGUGAGAAUCUCUCAUCAUAGUCAACACCUUGAACUUGUCGAAAAACCUUUUGCGACAAUUCUAGCUUUGUAGAUAAUAACACUACUAUCAGCGUCCGUCUUCCUCUUGAAGAUCCAUUUAUUUUUAUGGCUUGCCGAUCAUCGGGCAAAUCCAUCAAAGUCCAUACUUUGUUCUCAUACAUGGAUCAUAUCUCAGAUUUCAUGGCCUCAAACCAUUUCGCGGAAUCUGGGCUCAUCAUCGCUUCCUCAUAGUUCGCAAGUUCGUCAUGGUCUAGUAACAUGACUUCCAGAACAGGAUUACCGUACCACUCUGGUGCGGAUCUUACUCUGGUUUACCUACGAGAUUCGAUAGUAACUUGAUCUGAAGUUACAUGAUCAUCAUCAUUAUCUUCCUCACUAAUUGGUGUAGUAGUCACAAGAACAGAUUUCUGUGAUGAAUUACUUUCCAAUAAGGGAGAAGGUACAAUUACCUUAUCAAGUUUUCUACUUUCCUCCCACUCACUUCUUUCGAGAGAAACUCCUUCUCUAGAAAGUUUCCGAAUUUAGCAACAAAAGUCUUGCCUUCGGAUCUGUGAUAGAAGGUGUAUCCAAUAGUUUCCUUUGGAUAUCCUAUGAAGACAUAUUUCUCCGAUUUGGGUUUGAGCUUAUUAGGAUGAAACUUUUCAUAUAAGCAUCACAACCCCAAACUUUAAGAAACGACAACUUUGGUUUCUUGCCAAACCACAGUUCAGAUUGUGUCGUCUCAACGGACUUAGAUGGUGCCCUAUUUAACGUGAAUGCAGCUGUCUCUAAUGCAUAACCCCAAAACGAUAGUGGUAGAUCGGUAAGAGACAUCUUAGAUCGCACUAUAUCUAAUAAAGUAUGGUUAUGACGUUCGGACACACCAUUACACUAUGAUGUUCUAGGUGGCGUGAGUAGUGAAAUUAUUUCACAUUGUUUUAAUUGAAGACCAAACUUGUAACUCAAAUACUCUUCUCUACGGUCAGAUCGUAGAAACUUUAUUUUCUUGUUACGAUGAUUUUUCACUUCACUCUGAAAUUCUUUGAACUUUUCAAAUGUUUCAGACUUAUGUUUCAUCAAGUAGAUAUACUCAUAUCUGCUCAAAUCAUCUGUGAAGAUCAGAAAAUAAUGAUACAUGUCGCGAGCCUCAAUAUUCAUCGGACCACAUACAUUAGUAUGUAUGAUUUCCAACAAAUCUGUUGCUCGCUCCAUUGUUCUGAAGAACGGAGUCUUAGUCAUCUUGCCCAUGAGGCAUGGUUCGCAAGCACCAAGUGAUUCAUAAUCAAGUGAUUCCAAAAUCCCAUCAGCAUGGAGUUUCUUCAUGCGCUUUACACCAAUAUGACCUAAACGACAGUGCCACAAAUAAGUUGCACUAUCAUUAUUAACUUUGCAUCUUUUGGUUUCAAUAUUAUGAUUAUGUGUAUCACUACGAUCGAGAUCCAACGAACUAUUUUCAUUGGGUGUGUAAUCAUAUAAGGUUUUAUUCAUGUAAACAGAACAACAAUUUAUUCUCUUACUUAAAUGAAUAAUCGUAUUACAAUAAACAUGAUCAAAUCAUAUUCAUGCUGAACGCAAACACCAAAUAACACUUAUUUAGGUUCAACACUAAUCCCGAAAUUAUAGGGAGUGUGCGAUGAUGAUCAUAUCAAUCUUGGAACCACUUCCAACACACAUCGUCACUUCACCCUUAACUAGUCUAUGUUUAUUCUGCAACUCCCGUUUCGAGUUACUAAUCUUAGCAACUGAACUAGUAUCAAAUACUGAGAGGUUGCUAUAAACACUAGUAAAGUACACAUCAAUAAGAUGUAUAUCAAAUAUACUUAUGUUUACUUUGCCAUCCUUCUUAUCCGCCAAUCACUUGGGGUAGUUCCGCUUCUAGUGACCAGUCCCUUUGCAGUAGAAGCACUUAGUCUCAGGCUUAGGACCAGACUUGGGCUUUUUUACUUGAGCAGCAACUUGCUUGCCGUUCUUCUUGAAGUUCUCCUUCUUCCCUUUGCCCUUUUCUUGAAACUAGUGGUCUUGUUAACCAUCAACACUUGAUGUUUUUCUUAAUUUCUACCUUCGUCGAUUUCAGCAUCACGAAGAGCUUGAGAAUUAUUUUUGUCAUCCCUUGCAUAUUAUAGUUCAUCACGAAGUUCUACUAACUUGGUGAUGGUGACUAGAGAAUUCUGUCAAUCACUAUCUUAUCUGAAAGAUUAACUCCCACUUGAUUCAAGCGAUUGUAGUACUCAGACAAUCUGGGCACAUGCUCACUAGUUGAGCGAUUCUCCUCCAUCUUUUAGCUAUAGAACUUGUUGGAGACUUCAUAUCUCUCAACUCAGGUAUUUGCUUGAAAUAUUAAUUUCAACUCCUGGAACAUCUCAUAUGCUCCAUGACGUUCAAAACGUCUUUGAAGUCCCGAUUCUAAGCCAUUAAGCAUGGUGCACUAAACUAUCAAGUAGUCAUCAUAUUGAGCUAGCCAAACGUUCAUAACGUCUGCAUCUGCUCCUGCAAUAGGUCUGUCACCUAGCGGUGCAUCAAGGACAUAAUUCUUCUGUGCAGCAAUGAGGAUAAACCUCAGAUUACGAAUCCAAUCCGCAUCAUUGCUACUAACAUCUUUCAACACAAUUUUCUCCAGGAACAUAUCAAAAUAAACACAGGGAAGCAACAACACGAGCUAUUUGAUCUACAACAUAAUUUGCAAAAUACUACCAGGACUAAGUUCAUGAUAAAUUUAAGUUCAAUUUAAUCAUAUUACUUAAGAACUCCCACUUAGAUAGACAUCCCUCUAAUCCUCUAAGUGAUCACGUGAUCCAAAUCAACUAAACCAUGUACGAUCAUCACGUGAGAUGGAGUAGUUUCAUUGGUGAACAUCACUAUGUUGAUCAUAUCUACUAUAUGAUUCACGCUCGACCUUUCGGUCUCCGUGUUCCGAGGCCAUAUCUGUAUAUGCUUGGCUCGUCAAGUAUAACCUGAGUAUUCCGCAUGUGCAACUGUUUUGCACCCGUUGUAUUUGAACGUAGAACCUAUCACACCCGAUCAUCACGUGGUGUCUCAGCAUGAAGAACUUUCACAACGGUGCAUACUCAGGGAGAACACUUCUUGAUAAUUAGUGAGAGAUCAUCUUAUAAUGCUACCGUCAAUCAAAGCAAGAUAAGAUGCACAAAAGAUAAACAUCACAUGCAAUCAAUAUAAGUGAUAUGAUAUGGCCAUCAUCAUCUUGUACUUGUGAUCUCCAUCUUCGAAGCACCGUCGUGAUCACCAUCGUCACCGGCGCGACACCUUGAUCUCCAUCGUAGCAUCAUUGUCGUCUCGCCAAUAUUAUGCUUCCACGACUAUCGCUACCGCUUAGUGAUAAAGUAAAGCAUUACAGCGCGAUUGCAUUGCAUACAAUAAAGCGACAACCAUAUGGCUCCUGCCAGUUGCCGAUAACUCGGUUACAAAACAUGAUCAUCUCAUACAAUAAAAUUUAGCAUCAUGUCUUGACCAUAUCACAUCACAACAUGCCCUGCAAAAACAAGUUAGACGUCCUCUACUUUGUUGUUGCAAGUUUUACGUGGCUGCUACGGGCUUAAGCAAGAACCAAUCUUACCUACGCAUCAAAACCACAACGAUAGUUUGUCAAGUUGGUGCUAUUUUAACCUUCGCAAGGACCGGGCGUAGCCACACUCGGUUCAACUAAAGUUGGAGAAACUGUCACCCGCAAGCCACCUCUGUGCAAAGCACGUCGGGAGAACCGGUCUCGCGUAAGCGUACGCGUAAUGUCGGUCCGGGCCGCUUCGUCCAACAAUACCGCCAAACCAAAGUAUGACAUGCUGGUAAGCAGUAUGACUUAUAUCGCCCACAACUCACUUGUGUUCUACUCGUGCAUAUAAUAUCAACAUAUAAAACCUAGGCUCGGAUGCCACUGUUGGGGAACGUAGUAAUUUCAAAAAUUUCCUACGCACACGCAAGAUCAUGGUGAUGCAUAGCAACGAGAGGGGGAGUAUGAUCUACAUACCUGGUAGAUCAACAACGGAAGCAUUUGGUUGAUGUAGUCGUACGUCUCCACGAUCCGACCGAUCAAGCACCGAAACUACGGCACCUCCGAGUUCUAGCACACGUUCAGCUCGAUGACGAUCCCCGGACUCCGAUUCAGCAAAGGGUCGGGGAAGAGUUCCGUUAGCAUGACGGCGUGGUGACGAUCUUGAUGUACUACUGCUGCAGGGCUUCGCCUAAGCACCGCUACAAUAUUAUCGAGGAUUAUGGUGGCUGGGGGCGCCGCACACGGCUAAGAAUAAGAUCACGUGGAUCAACUUGUGUGUCUAUGGGGUGCCCCUUGCCUCAGUAUAUAAAGGAUGAAGGAGGAGGAGGCCGGCCAAGGCUUGGUGCGGCCAGGAUGUGGAGUCCUACUAGGACUCCAAGUCCCAGUAGGAGUCCACCAAGAGGGGAGGAAGGGAGAAGGAAGUGGAGGAGAAGGAAAGGUGGCCGGCCCCCUUUUCCCUAGUCCAAAUCAGACCAGAGGGGAGGGGGGGGCGCAGCAGACCCUUGGCCCUUUCUCCUCUUCCCACUAAAGCCCAUCAAGGCCCAUUGCUUCUCCCGUAACUACCCGGUACUCCGAAAAAUACCCGAAUCACUCGGAACCUUUCCGAUGUCCGAAUAUAGUCUUCCAAUAUAUCGAUCUUUACGUCUCGACCAUUUCAAGACUCCUCGUCAUGUCCCCGGUCUCAUCCGAGACUCUGAACUCCUUCGGUACAUCAAAACUCAUAAACUCAUAAUAUAACUGUCAUCGAAACCUUAAGCGUGCGGACCCUACGGGUUCGAGAACAAUGUAGACAUGACCGAGACACGUCUCCGGUCAAUAACCAAUAGCGGGACCUGGAUGCCCAUAUUGGCUCCUACAUAUUCUACGAAGAUCUUUAUCGGUCAGACCGCAUAACAACAUACGUUGUUCCCUUUGUCAUCGGUAUGUUACUUGCCCGGGAUUUGAUCGUCGGUAUCCAAUACCUAGUUCAAUCUCGUUACCGGCAAGUCUCUUUACUCGUUCUGUAAUACAUCAUCUCGCAACUAACUCAUUAGUUGCAAUGCUUGCAAGGCUUAAGUGAUGUGCAUUACCGAAAGGGCCCAGAGAUACCUCUCCGACAAUCGGAGUGACAAAUCCUAAUCUCGAAAUACGCCAACCCAAUAUUUACCUCUGGAGACACCUGUAGAGCUCCUUUAUAAUCACCCAUUUACGUUAUGACGUUUGGUAGCACACAAAGUGUUCCUCCGGCAAACGGGAGUUGCAUAAUCUCAUAGUCAUAGGAACAUGUAUAAGUCAUGAAGAAAGCAAUAGCAACAUACUAAACGAUCGGGUGCUAAGCUAAUGGAAUGGGUCAUGUCAAUCAGAUCAUUCACCUAAUGAUGUGAUCCCGUUAAUCAAAUAACAACUCUUUGUCUAUGGUUAGGAAAAUAACCAUCUUUGAUUAACGAGCUAGUCAAGUAGAGGCAUACUAGUGACACUCUGUUUGUCUAUGUAUUCACACAUGUAUUAUGUUUCCGGUUAAUACAAUUAUAGCAUGAAUAAUAAACAUUUAUCAUGAAAUAAGGAAAUAAAUAAUAACUUUAUUAUUGCCUCUAGGGCAUAUUUCCUUCAGACAUGCCGCGCGACCUAACAUAUGUUGUGGCAUUAAAAAAAUGUGAAGUACGGAUUGGAUCACUGAAGUGAGAUGAAAUGUCAAUCAAUAGAUCUCAAUGGUACGAAAAACGAGUUAAUGACGUGAGAGAAUAUCCUCGUUAUCUCCGAUUUACGAUGAGAAGCAUUGGGACCAACGAUAAAACCCUGCUACAUCUUAAAUAGUUUCCUCAUUCGACUGUUCUGGACAACACAAUAAAGAAAUGAAAGAAAAAAAUGGAAAAGGAGACUGUGCAGGGGUGGUUCACAAUUAGGGUUAAUUUUGUUGUUGGGAUGGUAAACCCAUGGCAAUAAACCACCAGGGGGUGAUUUCAUUGCGCACUUGAGAUCCUCAGUUCGAUUGUCAUUGGUAUUUGGACACGAAAAGGAAAAAAUGUGGGGAGGGGGGUGUGAGGAGGCUUACCAAAGGCGGAUAGGGAAGCGCGGCUGCAGUUUCGGCGCGCCAUACAGAGAAGCUCGCGAUGUACUGAUAUGCCGGUGCUUUUGGGUCACAAGAACCAGCAAAGCAGGUUGUUCCAUGACAUACCAUCAGGGGCGUGAUCCUCUCACCCAUUAAGAGGCCGUGCGAAGGGCCAAUCACCCAUCACCAAGAUGGGUGUCCGAAGGGUACACUGCAUAUUCGGGGGCUAAUCCCGCCCGUGGCUUGUCGGGCCGGUGAAUAAGGAGGGAUUCCCCGGGGUCCUAGUGCACAAAGAGGAGACCUUAACUUUAAAUCGACCUAAAUCAGAUAUUUCUCCCUAAAUUUUUUCGAAAUUCCUUUUUGUUUGUUUGCUUACUAUUAAAUAAAAACCAAGGGUGUAAAGAUGCACCGACGUGGCCAAGCGACUAAAAUAAAAUUUGGCGACAAAUUAAGUGGACACAUGCAACAAAAAUGGCAUCCUGGUCCGUUGACUGAAUAUAAUAUGUGAACCAUUAGAGCGUGGCGCAUUUUUUGUGGCAUAGCUGACUCAAACAAAAAAAAUAUCCCCCAACGACCGGCAUCUGUGGAUUUGGCAUAAAAAAAUGCUCUGCUUAGCGUUGGAGGGUAAGAGGUGCGGUCUUAGAUUAAACUAAGCCCGAUCACUGUAGGUCCAUGCGGCAAUUAUUUUAACCUGCUUGCAUGCAUGCAUGCAUAUUCUGUCCCCAGAAAAAAGGCAGCACCCACCAGCCAUCCUCCCAGGCGCAGCAAGAGCGCAAGACGCAUCUCUCGGUGACCACGACCCGGGUGGACUGCCGUGGAAGACUUGACUUCCGGCGAUUGCCGGCGACUGGCGUGAUGCCGAUCUCCUUCCUCCCCACCUCUUCUUCUCCCUCCUCUCCUCGCCCCCUCCUUGCUCCCUAGCCGAUCCUCCCUGUCUUUGCUCGCCUCAUCCACUCAAUCCUCUCUUUGCUGCCUUCUUUCUCUGUCUCUUCCUUCUCAGAUCCCGUUCCCAUCUUCUUGAUCCAGCCUGAUCUAAUCCGACGGAGGCCCUCUUGGCCAGAUCCGGUUACUCCUCGCCGCCCCCCCCCCCACACACACAACCCACUUUCGUUACUCCCAGCCCUGUAUUCCUUCUAGUUCGAGUCAAGCUGCAGUAGAAUAUCAGGAUGACUUUAGCUCCUCUUGCCAACGAGAUAGAGUGGAUCUUAGGAGUGGUCAGGGGGGAGGAGAUGGAAUUUGAUGUUGUAGUACAUGGGAACAUGACCGACUCUUUUUCUUGGGCAGCGGCGCAUGGCCCUAACGCGUCUCGGGCGCCAUGAAAGCCAUAGCUUGGAAUUGCCGAGGUAUGGGCCGAGACCUCGGCAAUGAACGUAUGCUAUUUCUGGCCAAUCUGAUUCGUUCUACUAAAGCUCAGGUAACCUUUGUUUCCGAAAUCAAAUCUUCCAAGGUUCGGUCGGUUGAUCUUGUUAAUAGGUUUGAUGUUGCUAAUAGUUUUGUUGUUCCUUCUAGAGGAGCCUCUGGAGGGCUCUGGCUUAUGUGGAAUGAUGAACUCAAUGUGUCUGUUCAUAGUGCCUCCUUUCAUUAUAUUUUAGCUAAUGUAGUUCAUCUAGCCUCGGGUGUUCACUUUUGUUUGAUUUGUAUAUAUGGUGACCCCUACCAUAGGCAGACUAGUGCUAUUUGGAGUCAAGUUUCUGCUUUUGUGUAUGAUAACUUGGGUAAGCCCAUGAUGUGUAUUGGAGACCUUAAUGACAUCUUGUAUGAUACAGAUGGUUGUAAUGGUAGUGUUAAUUAUUAUCGCAUGUCUGCUUUUCGUUCCCUUGUUAAAAAUUAAGGUUUUUUUGAUAUUGGUUUUAGUGGUCCUGCGUACACUUGGCGUAACAAACAGCAUACUGUUAAUCCUAUUUACAGACGUCUAGACCGAUGCCUUGUCAACUCUGACUGGUGUGCGCAUUAUCCUAAUUCUAAAGUGCUCAACUUACCUAUUAUUCUCAGUGAUCAUGCGCCCAUUCUCGUUUCUACAGACGGUAAUUUUCUUAAGCCGAGGCAAACUUUUAAAUUUGAAAACUGGUGGUUGCUUGAAAAAGACUUUACUAGCUUUGCAAAAUCUGCUUGGAAUAAUUGCACUUUUACCUCUUUUGCAGCAAAGUCUUCUUCUUUGGCAGGUUCUUUGAAGAAGUGGUGUAAGAAGAAAAGACCCUUCCAGUAAGAGCUUUUGGAAAUUGAGUCCAGUAUUAAUCAGAUUCAGCAGCUUCCAAUUCAGCAGCAAAAUCACACUUUGGAAAGCUCUCUCACUCUUAGGUAUGAACAAACUCUCUCUAAGCUCAAUCAAUUUUAUAAACAGAGAAGUAAGAAGGGUUGGGCCACUGCUGGUGAUCGUAAUACUAAGUUUUUUCAUCAGGCUGGGAUCAAAAGAAGAAAAAGAAAUACUAUUUGUUCCAUUAAGGAUGAGAAUGAUGUGCUUCAUUUUAAACCUAGUGCUAUCACUAAUACUUUUGUUAAUUAUUUUAGAUACAUCUUCUCUUCGCCAAAAAAUAACACUGCAAGGCCUUUUCUUAAUACUCGUUUGCCUGACAACUAUUUGGAUCCUACUUACUUUCUUCCAGAUAAACAUGAGAUUUUGCAGAUUCUCAAAGAUAUGAAGUUGAAUGCUUCUCCGGGUCUGGAUGGAUUUAAUGUUGAAUUUUAUCUGGCAGCAUGGGAUUGGAUUGGCGAGGAAGUUACUCAACUUGUGACUACCUUUUAUAAAACUGGUAUUUUACCUCCUCAUAUCGAUGACACUAAUAUUGCUCUCAUUCCAAAAAAGUUAGUUCCUCAAGUUCCUAUGGAUUAUCGUCCCAUUAGCCUUUGUAAUGUUGUCUACAAAAUCAUUGCGAAAUCAUUGGCUAAUAGGAUUAAGCCUCAUCUUCCGGACUAUAUUGAUCCGGCACAACAAGCCUUUAUUGAGGAUAGAAGAAUUAGCGAUAACAUCAUUAUUGCUCAAGAGAUUACUCACUCCUUCGCUCUAAAAUCGUGGAAUCAUCAUGCUUUCAUGCUCAAGAUAGAUCUUGCUAAAGCUUUUGAUCGUCUUGAAUGGAGUUUCAUUGUGUCUGCUCUUGCACGUAAAGGUCUGCAUGAUCAUUUCAUUAAUUUGAUUCAUGCUUGCAUUUCUUCUCCUACUUUCUCUGUGCUUAUUAAUGGGCAGCCUUCUCAUAAAUUUAAAAGUUUUAGAGGUAUUCGUCAAGGCUGUCCCAUGUCGCCUUAUUUGUUUGUUAUUGCUAUCAAUGAAUUAUCUGUUGCUCUUAAUGAAGCUCUAGCUUCUCAUCAUCUCCAGGGUAUUUCACUUGGUCCAGAUUGCCCUUCUAUUCAUUCUCUGUUGUUUGCAGAUGAUUUGUUGGUUUGUGGUCAAGCCACUAUGCAGGAAGCAAAUUCUAUGGCUCAACUCAUCCAUCACUUUUGUUAUAUUUCAGGUCAAACACCAAAUUGGGCCAAAUGUGCUAUUCUUUUUAGUACUCAUGUUAGUCAAACCACUAUUCAAGAGAUUAAGCAAGUUUUUCCUGUUUCUAUCAUGGAUAACAAUUUCACCCACCUUGGUCAUCCGCUUAUUCUUCCUGCUAAAAAUAGAAUUGUUGCUUACAACUUUGUUAUUGAUAAAUUUAUGAAUAAAUUGCCUGCUUACAAAGCUAAUAUGCUCUCUCAUGCUGCUAGGCUUGAGCUCAUUAGGUCUGUGUUCUCUGCUAUUCCUGUGUACUACAUGUCUAAUAUUUUGUUUACCAAGAAGUUUAUAGCCAAACUCACUGCUAUUAUAAGGAACUUUUGAUGGACAGGAAUCAGAGAGGAUAAUUCUAACAAGAGCCUUUGUCUUAGGGCUUGAAAGGACAUUUGCAAUUCCAAACAGGAAGGUGGUCUUGGCAUUAGGAACUUGCAAGCAAUUAAUGAGAGCUUACUUCUUGCAGCUGCUUGGAGGCUUGCUAAAGACCCUUCCUCCCACCUUCAUCUUGUGCUCAAAUCUAAAUACUUCCAUGAUGCCUCUAUUUGGACUGCUAUUUCUACUACUCCAAAAUUUGCUUUCUGGUCAUCCAUUUUAAAAAUGUUGCCUAAACUGAAAGAUCACUCUUUUUACCAACUCACGCAAGGGAAUAUCUCUCUUUGGAGUACCCCUUGGUGUUCCCUUUGGGCUUCUGUUCAUGACAAUCUUAUUAUUCAGCCUUCAGGAUACAUAUAUCCUUCUCUUGUUAAGGAUCUUUGGAUACCGGGUCAGAAAGUCUGGAACAAUGACCUCAUUAACUCUCCCUUUCAACAGCCUCUAGCCUCUGUUAUCGUUCAAACUGACAUUAUUCACCAAGAUUGCCCGGAUAUAUUAUGUUGGGAUCUAACUCCUAAUGGUACUUGUUCUUCCAAGUUCACUUAUAAAUUGUGUUUGCAGGAUAUUCAUGCCAAUCCAAGAAAUACUCCUUCCCAAGUUUCUUUGCAGAUGAAAAAUCUUCUCAAGUUGAUUUGGAAGCAAAAGUUGAUGAUCCCCAGAGUUCAAACUAUCGCUUGGAGACUCCUUCGGAAAGCUCUUCCCACAGGUUUGAGGGUUGGGCGCUUUUCCAUACAUAUUUCUCAAUAUUGUUGCAGAUGUGGUCAGCAAGAGGAUAAGGUUCACAUGUUUUUUCUUUGUGACUUCGCUAGAGCUGCUUGGUUUUCUCAUCCUUGGUUCAUCAGAACAGAUGCUUUAGUUCAGAUCUAUACCAAUAUCCAUAGUAUUAUUCUUGCUUUACUUAAUAUGAACCAUCUGCAUGCUUCUGUUGUCAACAUUCUAAAUUUUAUGUGGUGUCUUUGGAAAGCGAGGAAUGAUUAUCUUUUUAAUAGAAAGAAAGCUACCCCUCACCAAGUUAAUAUUGCUGCUACUUCUCUAUCUAAUGAUUUCUGUGAUCUGCUUAACAGUUCUUCACACCAUCAGCCUCAAAACUCCAGUUGUAUCUUAACCCAUACUAAUCAACUUCCCUUGCAGGGACAAACGCUUAAAUCAGAUCUUCUUAUCACGGGACCGAAAGUAUAUACUGAUGCAUCUUUUAAGUGCAAAAAAAUUCCAAGUUUAUUGCAGGGAACAGCGGCCACUGGAGUUGGUAUCUACAUUUCUUUGCCGCACGAUCAGAAGGAAGUUAGCGUGCAGAUUCAAGCUUCCACCUCAAUUACAAAUACUCCUCUGCAGGGUGAAGCGUUUGCUCUUCUCUUGGCUGCAAAAGUAGCUAAAUGUCUCAACAUCAGCCAGCCGACAUUCCUCACAGACUGUCUCUCUUUGGCUUCAUUUGCGGCUAGUAGAAAGAUUACUGAAACCUCUACCCCUUGGACUAUCAGGAAAGUUUUAGCUGAUUUCUUCUGCUACUCUUCAGACCUUCAACCUAGAGUGCUCCAUAUUUCCAGGGAAAUUAAUGGAAUUGCUCACAACGUCGCUCAUCAGGUUCUUACAUCAAAUGUAGAAUCUGACAUAUGUUGUUUUGCUUUGGCUCACAGGAACAUGGCUUGCCGUGUAGUUUCUCUCCUCUUUAAUUUCAAGUUUGAGGGCUUUGUAAUUCAUGCUGGACGUUGCUAUUGAGCUGAGCUGAAUGAAAAGUUUGGCGCUUCGUGCGCCUUUUGUUGUUCAAAAAAAAAACCCAGCCAUCCUCCCUCCCCCCGCACCACACGGCUGAUUCCCGAUGCGGAGACAUCUCUUUUUUUUGGAUCCAUAUGCGAACAUAGCACGGAUCAUUGGCUAGUUAACCACUUUGUAGAUCGUGUCGGGCACGGACGCUGGUCCCGGGGAAAUGUACUCUGAUGCUGGGGCGAAGAGUCUAUGGGGGACCGGAUAUAGAAAAGCGUCCGGACUACUGUAGCGUACAGCGGCAGGCAUCAUGGGUCGCUUUCUGCUUGCGCUGAAAUUGUCCGGGCGCAUAUGGACACGGUCACCUUAUUUUUUUGGUGCGACGAAAAAUUGUUCAGCUAUACCGGCUGGCAAACCAUUUCUUGACGAGAUCAGUUUCUUGUGCUAGCUAGUACGCAUGUGUGCAUGCACGUUGGGGACGGUCCGGCCAACGCUAAUGUGGUAACAACUGCGUCGCACUUCAGUGCUCGGCGCGGGAGAUCUCCCGCCAUAGUAACCCAAAAAUGGGUAAGAAAGCACACACCCGAGGGGUAGCUAGGUAAUUAAAAUGGGCUGUAACUGCCCGUGUGGCCAUGUAACAGCAUAUAUCUACACGGCCCCCUGCUCACCUCUCACUCACUCAGACCACUCUUCUCCCCACGCUUCCUCCUCAAGAACCGAGCUCUCACACAGUGCACUGUUCAUCACCUCAGCCGCCGGUGGAAAAAGGAGGGGAAAAGCAGAUCUGAUGAUAGCAGUGGCCGCAGAAAGACGAUCGACCCGCGGAUAAGACGGUACACGUCCGAACAAGAUUCUCCCGUCUCUUUCCUCUUUCCAUGGUGUGGAAUCUUUCUUUUUUUGGGGGGAAAUCCAUGCUUACGCUUCCCCUGUUUUCGCAUGCAGCCAACCCUAGCGUUGACGAGUGAUGGAUCCGUCCAGCCGGAAGAGGAAAACGCGUAGAUCGGCCAACGAAGAUGACCCUCUCUACAAGCCGAAGAGAGCACGCUCUCGGAGGGAGCGAGAUGCAGCUUCCGUCAGCGACUGCCAUCUCCCGCAUAGCGGGUGGGGAAGCGGCGCCAUCGUUCGUGCGGUUGACCACCGUCCUGGCCGGCGAGCAGAUGUAGAUUUUCUUCGGGGUAAAUGUUGCAAGAGCACGUUCAAUAUGAGACCAUUCCUUGGUCUAGGGCCAUCUUACUACCCUGCUGUUGCCGAUUCAGACAUGGGGGGCCUGCUGACCACGCAGAUAGCAAACGAUGCAAAGAAAAAGCACUACGCAUGGAUCCUGUCACGAUUCAACCCCCAUGACAUGAGUUUUAGGUUUAGGGAUGAGCAGAUCUGUAGGUUUAGAGUCUCUGACAUGGUUUCCAUCAUGGGGUUUAGAAAUUCCGGUGAAUCCGUAACAUAUGAUACUCCUCCGAACCGGGCAGAACUUGUUGAGCAGAGACAGGACAUAGUUGGCCUAGAGAGGAAAACAGUAGGGGGGCUAGCUGUCAAUGACAUACUGUAUGCAUUUCAGUAGAUGGAUCACAUGACCAUAGAACCAGAUGAGCGUAGGGCAAUGUCAGUUGCAUCCUCUUUAUUGGGAUCUGCUCUGGUCGUAGCACCAAACCAAAGAUAUCCUGCUGUACCAGAUGAGAUCCUACAGUGUGGUGUGCAUCCACAAGGCACUGGGUUCUACAACCUUGCAAAGUAUGGAUUUGAAAAACUUAGGGAAGCAGUACGGAAAUUCCAAGCCGAUGUCAGUGGAGGCAAGAAAACUAUAGAGCUUGGAGGAUGCCAGGUAUCAGCACAGGUAAUACAUAAAAAAACACAUUCCAUCCUUACUGUGUACUGAAUUUAUCAAACCUUCAGUUAUGUACUGCUUCUGACAACAAAAAUGUGAUUUUCAGAUUUGGGUGUUGGACAACAUGGACUUUGGCAACUCAAAUGUGACAUCUACACGCCUGCCGAGGUUAUCAGCCUACUCUGGUGACAAGAUAAAAGAACUAAUUGGUCUAGAUGAGCGAUACCCUGGGCGGCUCAAGGUGAUGUCUCUCGCACACAACUUUUUAACUGUUGUUGACACCCUUGGUGAUCAUGAACUAGUUUUUUCAAUUCAAUUAUUCUUCAUUGUCACAGACCAAACCAGAAAACUGGAAGGACAACAUCAACUGGGUUUGGCACUCCAUGAUGUCAGAUAAUCCACCAGACCUUGGCAUACAUAGCGUAAGCUGCAUUGCACUCACCGUUCGAAAGCAUCAUUGUUUGUACAAAUUUAACUAACUAGUGGCAUCAUCCUGUUCAACCUUGCGCAGCCACCCAUAGAGCUUGGGGCUAUCGUGGAUGACGGGGUUGAAAAGAUCUUCAGAGAUGCGGUUACAGCAUGGUGUAUCAAACAUCCAGGUUCCAUUUGUGAUGGACGUGCUGGGGGGAGGAUGAUGCCACCAUGGAGAAGUUCCUGCAGGGGAUCAAGGACAACAAAAAAGAUUUUGUUAGAAAUCUCAUGGAUGCAUUCGCUGCUACAAGAUCAAAAUCAAUGAGCACAUUGGCUACAACAGGUAUUGUAAAAAGAAUUCCUCCAAUCUAACCAUCUCAAUCAGCAUCCCUCUGUGUUUGAUGAAAAUGUCUUCCUAACUAAAAAUAUCAUGUAGCAGCUGCAGUGGAUAGUGGCACGCAUGUCGGUGCACACCCGAUGGCAAAUGAAACGACAAUUCCAGCCACUCAAAGUUCUAUUGUUGUUCAUGAUACGUCAGGUAAGUAAGCGAAAUUACUUCAACUGUACUGAUAGCAAGCAGCUGACUUAUUAGAGCUUUGCCAAAUCAAUAAACUCAUUCAGAGAUGGAAAAAAUAGAAAUUGCAGCAGGUGCAGAAAGCUUGAUUCAGGAGGGUGAUUUACCAGCACUUGUAAGUGCAUUUAGUGUCACCCCUAGUUGGUUUUGGAGUAUUGACGACAAACCUAGUUGAGGAACUAAUGUGUUUGUGAGAAUUGCAGAAUAACACAGGUAGAAGUCCCUCAUUGAUUCGAUUUUCCUACCAGAGAUGACCCUUAAAAAUGUAUGAAGACAUUAAAGUCAAAGGUAGUAUAUGAAGAUAUUCACAUUGAAGACUAUGACAAGAGAAGACACCACAUGAAGCCUAUGGAGCUCGAAGACUUAGAUCUUUCGUAGUUCUUUCUCUUUUGUGUUGAGUCAUAGGAACCACCGUACUGUUAAGUGGGGUCCAAGAGAACCAGUCAGACUGACUGAAGUGAUGCCUAACCAAAAACCUAUGUCUUCGAGUGAAGACUAUGAGAGCGAAUCUUGUCCAGAGUCGGACAAGUCAGCUUUGCUUGUAGUUCAAGUAAAGUUGCUGUGUGAGUUUGAAAUCUGAUCGUUGGAACACGUGUCAGUUCCUUAGUGAUCCAGGGUCAUUUCGGAUAAAUCAGGUCGGGUUGCCAAGUGGCUAUAAAUAGCCCACCCCCACAACCAUAAACGGUUGGCUGCUCAGAUUGAGAUGCUCAGAUUGAGAGUACGGCUUUUGUCGUUUGAGAGCAACCCACCUCGAAGCCUUUGAGAGAGAAUUCCUUGCGAGGAUAAAGCCCUAACCACCCAGAGCCAAAGAGAAUUGGGCAUCACUUAAGUCUUUUUGUCUGUGUGAUCUGAAGACUUAUUACACUUGAGGACUGUGCAUCCUCCAGCCGGUUAGGCGUCGCGUUCUGAGCAUCCAAGAGACAUUGUGGAUUGCCGGUGAACGAAGUCUGUGAAGGUUUGGGAGUCUACCUUGAAGACUUACCAGAGUGAUUGGGCGAGGUCUGUGUGACCUUAGCUCAAGGGAAAUACGGUGAGGACUGGGUGUCCUGAGCUGCGUGUUCAGGACUGGGUGUCCGGGACUGUGUGUCCUAAGGUUUAAAUACCUAGCCGCCCCAAUCAGACGUACAGUUGUCACAGCAACUGGAACUGGUCCAACAAAUCAUUGUCUUCAACGAGUCACUCGUUUCAUCUUCCCUUCCCUUUACUUACUGUUGCUCCUUGUGAAGUCAUUGUAUGUUUGCACUAUCUUUUGUCUUCACUGAGUGACUGCAUGCUCUGUAUGGCUACAUAAUAUCUUCCUACCUGAUCCUUACUACAUUGCUGCUAUUAAGUCAUUGUGCUUUCACUUCAUUGAACACUUGACUAUGGCUUGCCUAGUGUAGUCUACCUUCCGCUGCAUGGUAAUAGGUUUAUUUCUAUCUUUUGUCUUCAUAACUUCCAUGUUUUGAAGACUUUCAUAAAAAUCGCCUAUUCACCCCCCCUAGUCGAUAUAACGCACUUUCAAUUGGUAUUAGAGCAAGGUGCUCCCUUGUUCUGUGUGAUUCGGUUUAACCACCUGGAGUUUUAGCUAUGUCGACUGCAGGGAUAAUUAAAGUCUCUGCUGCGUGCCCUGUCUUCGAUGGAACUGAAUAUCCCUACUGAAAGAAUAAGAUGCGCAUGCAUCUUGAAGCCAUUGAUGUCGACCUAUGGUAUGUCGUCGAAAACGGCGUUCCCAAAGCUGGAGAAGGUGUCACUGCUGCUGACGUCAAGAAAUUUGUUCAACUGGACUCUACUGCCAAGAAUAUCAUCUGUGGUCACCUGACCAAAUGACAGUAUGGCCGUGUGAGUGCUUUGAAGACAUCUAAACUGGUCUGGGACUGGCUCUCCAAGGUCAAUGAAGGCAUCUCAACCCAGAGAGAUCAGAGAAUCAGUGUCCUUCGCAACCUCUUCAACCGCUUCAAGCGAAAUGACAAUGAGAAUGUCCAGCACACUUUUGACCGACUCACUGACAUCACAAAUAAGCUUCAAGCCCUCGGCGCUACUGAGAUCACCAAACAUGAAGUCGUCAAGACACUACUGAGAUCACUUGAUAGUUCGUUUGACAUCCUAGCCCUGAUGAUUCAAGAACGUCCUGAUUUCAAGACACUCGAUCCAUCUGACAUACUUGAGAGGCUCAACACACAUGAGUUUCAGCUUUCUGAGAAAAGAGAUAUCUACGGUCCAAACUAUGGGCGAACUCGUGCCUUGAAGGCAAAAACUGUCUCCUCAUCUGAAGAAGAAUCUGACAGCAGUUCUGAUGAUCCUGAAGACAUUGGAAGAGAACUUGCUAUGCUUGUGAAGAAGUUUCAAAAAUUCACCAAGAAGAAAGGCUUCAAAAAGUCUUCCCGAUCAAGCUCAAGGAAUGAUGAAGCUUCUGCUCACGACUACAAGAAGAAAACGUGUCAUAAGUGCAAGAAAUCUGGCCACUUCAUCUCUGAGUGUUCACAGUGGGACAAUGAGAACAAAAAGAAGAAGAAGAGCAAGGAAUAUGACUCUGACGACAAGAAGAAGAAGAAAUACUCAAAGUCUUCGUCCAAGUCUUCUUCAAAGUCUUCAUCACACAAGAAGAGCUCAUCUGUCAAGGCACGUGCGUUUGUUGGCAAGGAAAUGGACUCGGAGGAGGAGUCCGCUUCUGAGGAGGCGGAGGUGGAGUCUGAGGAGGAUUCCGAUUCAGGCGUCGCAAGUCUGGCUACAGCAUACAUUGCCAAGUCCAUCUUCAAUACUCAAGACAAUGACCUCGUCACCGACACCGAUGCAAAUGACAAGGACUACUCCGCUUCUACCUAUUGCUUCAUGGCUCGCGGUGCCAAGGUAAACACACGCACUACUCACUAUCAAACAUCUAGUGACGAUGACUCUGAUUGUGAUUCAAAACCCAGCUACAAAACACUUGCUAAAAUUGCAACUGAACAGCAGAAAACUAUGGUACAUAUUCAAAAACUGUUAGACAGAAGCGAUGAUCUGUUAGGUGCUGAAAUGACUCGAUCUGAAUCCUUAAUUGAAGACAUAAAAAAUCUUCACGUUAAGUAUCAGGAACUUGAAAGUCGUCAUGAAACUCUCUCAACAACUCAUGAAAAGUUUUCCUAUGAUUAUCUUUAAAGGAAGCACGAUCUUGAGAAAUUGAGAGCGGUUCAUGAAGAUCUUCAAAAGGAAAACGAGUCACUUCACUCCAAACAGAUCAGUCCCGCUCAGGAAGGAUUUGAACCACCAUGUCUUAAAUGCAUUGAGCGUGAUAAUGCUACUUUUGUUGCUGAAUGUUCUACUGCUACUACUGUUGCAAUAUCUUCAACUGUUGAUGUGGUAACUAACCCCUCUGCUGAGGAUACCACUGCUAUUGCUGAUGAGAAUGCUAGGUUGAAGACAUUGCUUGAAACAGGGAUGUACAAAAGUCUUAAAGGGCAUCAGACACUAUGUGAUGUCCUCAAAAAGCAGAUUCUGAACCGGAACCCAAGGAAAGAGGGUGUUGGGUUCGUAAGGAAAAUGAAUGCUGAUGGCUCUUACUGGAAACCUGAGCAGUACCCCAAACCAUGUGGGUUGCUGCAAAGGAACCUUCAGCAGACCCAUCCAAUCUAUUUGGCUUCACCUGUGCUAACCCCAUUAUCAUUGAUGAAUCCUUUGAUGCAAACUAUAUACUAUUUAAGAAUCAGAAUGGUGAAGUGUUUGUCAGGUACAUUGGUACUAACUGCAGGAAUGGACCGCCUAUGAAGAAGAUCUGGGUUCCGAAAAGGUGUCUGGAGAAUCUUCCUGUGAAUGUCAUCAUGACACCUCACGUGAAGAAGACAAACCUCAGACCAAAGGCUUCAUACGGUCCAAAGGCUUCAUACAGACAGAGGACUCACCUGAGUCGCACUAACGCAAAUGUUUUGUAGGGAAACCAUACUCAGGCAUAUGAAUAUGAGAGCGGUUCAUCAAACCGCCAUGUUCAUAAGACCAAGAACUAUUCUGCUUAUUCUUAUGAGUACUAUUGUCCGCCUGCAAGACUGUUUGCUAGGGCUCCAAAGCCAAAAUUCUUAGAUGCUGCACUUAGAUUUAUUGCUUCUCAACCACCCUUAAAGAUGUGGGUGGCUAAGAAAGCUUAACUCUCUUUUGCAGGGAAAGGUCUCCAGCAGAAAAUCAAAAUCGUCUGACGCCAUUGCUGGGGACCUUAAACAUCUUGUAGGGCGCAAGAUCAAAUGCCCGAAUGGUCUUACUAUGUACUUCGUUCUUGAAUCGCUUGCUACUCUCCCUAUUAGUCCUAAUCUGGAUCUAAGCUUUCAUAACCCAUUGGUUCGUCAAAUGUUUUUGCUUCACAAUGCUCUUGGUGAAGCCUAUCCCCCUAACUGCACUGUAGGAUACGACACCAGCGUCUUCAGAGGAUUAUUGAUAGUGGGUGUACAAAUUACAUGACUGGCAAAAGAAGUCUUCUUAUGGACUCAACCUUACGUCCAUCCGACAAGAGACACAUCACAUUUGCUGACACUGGUAAAAGUAAGGUAUUGGGUCUAGGUAGAGUUGCAAUCUCAAGGGAUCAACACAUGGACAAAGUCAUGUUUGUUGAAUCCCUUGGCUUCAACUUAAUGUCUGUCUCAAUGCUUUGCGAUUUGAACAUGAUCGUAAUAUUUGGAAAAUAUCGUUGCCUUGUACUAAUGGAAUCUGACAAGUCUCUAGUGUUUGAAGGGUAUCGAAAAGAUGAUCUGUACGUAGUAGAUUUCUCAGCAGGACCACAGCUUGUCGUAUGUCUUCUAGCAAAAACUUCAGAAUGCUGGCUCUGGCAUCGGAGGCUUGGGCAUGCUGGCAUGAGGAACCUCCACACCCUUGCGAAGAAGAAGCAUGUCAUAGGCAUCGAGUGCGUCAAGUUCAAGAAAGACGACUUAUGCCGUGCCUGUGAAGCAGGGAAGAUGACGAGGGCCAAACAUCCUUCGAAGACAAUCAUGACCACUACUCGGCCCUUCGAACUGCUUCACAUGGAUAUUUUUGGUCCCACUCAUUACUCAACUCUUACUACUAUUGCAUGCCUCUAUGGCUUCGUUAUUGUUGAUGAUUACUCUAGAUACACUUGGUUGCACAUAAUCCUUUACAAGAAUGAAGUGCGGGAUGUCUUCAGACGCUUCGCCAAUCGAGCUAUGAACAAUUAUGGCGCCAAGAUAAAGCACAUCAGAAGUGACAAUGGUACUGAAUUCAAGAACACUGGCCUUGAUACAUAUCUUGAUACCUUGGGCAUCACACAUGAAUUCUCAGCCCCGUACAUGCCACAGCAGAAUGGCGUCGUCGAACGCAAGAACAGAACACUCAUUGAGAUGGCCGGAACGAUGCUAGAUGAAUACAAGACCCCAAGAAAAUUCUGGCCUGAAGCCAUUGAUACUGCAUGCCAUACAAUCAAUCGUGUUUAUCUUCACAAGCUUCUGAACAAGACAUCUUAUAAGAUCCUUACUGGCAAGAAGCCAAAUGUCAGUUACUUCAGAGUAUUUGGCGCAAGGUGUUGGAUCAAGGACCCACAUCACACCUCAAAGUUUGCACCAAAAGCACAUGAGGGUUUUAUGCUUGGAUAUGGAAAGGAUUCACACUCCUACAAAGUCUUCAAUCUCUUUCAUUACAAAGUGGUUGAAACAGUGGAUGUGCGGUUCGAUGAGACUAAUGGUUCACAAAGAGAGCAACUGCCAAAUGUGCUAGAUGAAGUUCCAUCCAGUGAAUCAAUCAAGCUAAUGGGAACUGAAGAAAUUAUACCUUCUGAAGCUCAUCCUGAAGAAGAACUUAUCAUCUCAGCACCUGAUCAACAUGAAGACAAUGCUCAGCCUGAAGACAUUCCUUCUAACAACGACAAUGAUCAGCAAGAGCAAAGUCUUCUCCCUGUACAUCCUCGCGUUGCCAAUGAAGUGCAGAUUGAAAGAAUAAUUGAUAGCAUCAAUGCACCCGGUCCACUCACUCGUUCAAGGGCAACUCAGCUAGCAAAUUUCUGUGGGCACUUUGCAUUCGUCUCAAUAAUAGAACCCAAAAAAGUUGAAGAAGCCUUCAUGGAACCUGAAUGGAUUCAAGCUAUGCAAGAAGUGCUUCAACAGUUUGAGCUGAAUAAUGUAUAGGAACUAGUUAAGCGUCCUGAUCCACGGAAGCACAAUAUAAUAGGCACCAAAUGGAUAUACCGCAACAAGCAAGAUGAGCAUGGUCAAGUUGUCAGAAACAAAGCUCGUCUCGUUGCUCAAGGAUAUACUCAAGUGGAAGGCAUUGACUUUGAUGAAACAUUUGCUCCUGUGGCUAGACUUGAAGCCAUACGCAUACUGCUGGCCUAUGCAAAUCAUCACAACAUACUUCUAUAUCAAAUGGAUGUGAAGAGUGCUUUUCUCAAUGGCAAGGUUGAAGAAGAAGUGUAUGUUGCACAACCGCCUGGCUUUGAAGAUCGAAAACAUCCUGACAUGGUAUACAAGCUCAACAAGGCACUGUAUGGCCUCAAACAAGCCCCUCGGGCCUGGUAUGACACACUCAAAUACUUCCUGAAGAGCAAAGGCUUCAUACCUGGUUCCCUAGACCCCACUCUCUUCAUGAAGACAUAUGAUGGUGAACUGUUUGUGUGCCAAAUAUAUGUGGAUGACAUUAUCUUCGGCUGUACCAAUCAGAAGUACAGUGAAGAGUUUGGAUAUAUGAUGCAAGAGCAAUAUCAGAUGUCCAUGAUGUGAGAGCUGAAAUUCUUCCUCGGUCUUCAAAUACGACAACAACGCAACGACAUCUUCAUAUCUCAAGAGAAGUAUCUCAAAGAUUGUCUGAAGAAGUUCGGUAUGCAAGACUGCAAAGGCUUCACAACACCAAUGCCAGCCAAACAUCAUCUGGGUCCCGACGAUAAUGGUAAAGAGUUCAAUCAAAAGGUAUACCGCUCCAUGAUUGGUUCUUUACUUUAUCUAUGUGCAUCUAGGCCAGAUAUUAUGCUUAGUGUUUGCAUGUGUGCUCGAUUUCAAGCGGCACCAAAGGAAUCGCAUCACUUAGCUGUGAAGCGAAUUCUUCGAUAUUUGGCUCACACCCCAACUCUAGGAUUAUGAUAUCCAAAGGGCUCAGAGUUUGAUCUGGUUGGAUUCUCGGAUGCUGAUUAUGUUGGUGACAAAGUUGAUCGCAAGUCUACAUCGGGCACAUGUCACUUUCUGGGACGAUCACUUGUAUGUUGGUCUUCAAAGAAGCAGAACUGUGUAUCUCUCUCCACUGCUGAAUCUGAAUACAUUGCUGCUGGAUCUUGCUACGCUCAGCUUCUAUGGAUGAAGCAAACACUCAAGGACUAUGGCAUUCAUCUGAAGCAAGUGCCACUUUACUGCGACAACGAAAGCGCCAUCAAGAUCGCCAACAACCCAGUUCAGCACUCGAAGACAAAGCACAUUGAAAUUCGUCAUCACUUUUUCAGAGAUCAUGUUGUGAAGGAAGAUAUUGAUAUCAUACACGUCAACACUGAAGAGCAAUUGGCAGAUAUGUUCACCAAGCCUUUGGAUGAGAAGAGAUUUUGCAAGUUACGGUGUGAGCUAAAUAUCCUGGAAUCCUCAAAUGUCUUGUGAUCAGGCACACAUCCUAACCCUUAUGUAUAUUGAUGACUUAGAUGUGCAACACACGAAGUAAAGUAUAUCUUCAAUCAAUGAAGACAUACAUUCUAAGUGUGAAUACAUUAAUGUGGAAUUUGACUUCGGAGCGCCACGAUAAUUGUGCGUCGUGUCUGGGUCUAAUACUUCCUAUACGGUGGGUAACGCCACCACCAAAUGUUCUAUUUUGAAGUGUUUCACUCAUGACGUUACCUUGCAAUGUCUUCACAUUUGGUUUGGCUUCGAUCUCAACAUAUCUUCAUGAUUAUCUUCACUAUGUUGAUUAUAUAGAUAUAUAUAUAUAUUAGUGUUCUGUCCUCUACAGCAUUCACUUAUAGCUAUGUAUUCAUUGUUGAAUCUGUUGAACUAAGUGAAUGUGAUUGGACCCUAACCUCUUUAUGCUUUCUAUCUCAAAUUCUAUCUCUCCAAAUCAUAUGCAUUCUAUUGAAACUGUCGAAUGUCUUCUCUGUGUCCUUGUCAGCAGAAGAUACAGAGAUAACCAUUAAGUCCAUUUUUAAUGCUCAUUCCUCCACAUGAAGUAGGAACGACCACCCAACAAUCAAGGCGUGCAUGAGACGUGGAACAAACCCCAAAAUUCCGCAUAAUGGCCACGUGUUCCUCAGAUGCGAAUCGCCAGGGGCACCUGUGUAAUAGCGCAGUGCCGCCCAUGUACCUAUAAAUACACACUUCACAGCGGUCAUUAUCUCUUCUUCCACUCUCGCACGAACCCUAGCGCCACCGCUAGCCCUCGACGACGCCGGCGACGAAGCGCUUCACUGCCGCAACCUCUCCGACGCCGUCUUCACGCCGACCGCGGACAUCCUCCUCUCCGCCAUCGUCGUAGGUGUCCUCCGUCGCCAAGUUAGGGCACAGAAGAUCGAACUGCUCGGCCUCAUCUUUCACUUCGUCUAGCAGUUCUUAGUGUGGUAAAUAAAACUUUCUUUUUACAUCACCGUUGAUCCUAUGGAUUUGUCACUUUCUACCACAAGCAGUUUCUAUUCACAUAAGUUAGAUCUCUCUCAUACUGCAUCUCAUAACAUGCCUAGUAUAUUCACUUAUGCUUCACAAAGUAGUUAGAUUCCUCACUUGUAUUGAUCUGUGGAUUCGUACAAAUUUGGAACCAACUCCUUAUCUAUGAGUGAAUGUCUUCGCAAAAUGAGGUCAAUGUCUUCUAAACUGAUUUAUCUUCAAAAUCUUCUGAGAAUGCAUAUGACCUCUUCCCCUUCCCUCGCACCUUAAUACUGUCACAGGUACAUGUCCGUGGGAGAAUCUUUUGGUUCUCAUAGUCUGCAUUCAUUUGCAGAAGUCUUACAGCAUCACAUUAAUUCUCCCGAAGCCAGUUCCUGUUGGUCCAGCAAGCGAAAACCUUUGAAGCCUUUGAACAUGUUGAAGCCUUUCAAGUUAAAGUUUAUGGCUUCAGAGAAAGCAGCAAGGAAGGGUGGCAGAAAGCGUCAUGGAGAAACAUCCAGAGAUCUGCCAGAUGAACUCUCAGAACUGUACAAGACAGAUCCUGAAGAGGAUUACAAUUAGCGCAAGACCCGAAUCCAAUGGAUUCGAAGAUAUUGGGCAGAACAAUGGUUCAAAUACCGAUUUGUAACCCAAGAAUAUGCUGAGAAAAAUGCCAUCAAGAGACCGUGGGGAGACAUCCAAUACAAGAAUCUUCUACCCAGGUCCAGAGAUGAAGCCAUUGCUAAAGGCUUCUAUCCCUGCAUGGUCCGUGGGCCACAGCCAGCUGAUGCACACCCAUCGUCACUACUAUGGUGUCGUGACGACAAUCUGUUCAAGCGCAACUUCCAGUUUGCCCAGAACUCAGCGAAGCAGAAUAAGAAGACUUUGGGGUUAGACUUCAACCCUGGUCCCUCAGCACCAAGGGCAGAUGGCACACGAGAUGCAGAAUCCAAUGUCAUCGGUCCUUUCAACAACCUUGAAGGCCUCAUCACCCGCAUCUUAGUUCAAGGGACUGCAGUGAAUGAGCCUGUAGCUGACGUUGAAUCAGAAGAAGCUCCUGCAGCGCCGAAGACAAAGAAGAUGAAGAAGCCUAAAGCUUCAAAGCCUGCCCCCUCACCAAAAAUCUCAAGGGCGAAGCCACUGGCAACUGCACCUCCUGAAGACAGUGUGCAGUCCGAAGACUUAUCUCGCAUCUCCAAGCCCCAGAAAGUCAAGAUGCCUCUGCCUCACACCGAACAAGAGCUAACUGCUGCUGCCAUUCUGCGCAAUGACGACAUUGAUCUGUCAAGUGAUGAAGAUCUAGCAGAUGACGCUCUUGAGCAACUCAUCAAAAGCAAAGAAGAAGCAGAAAUCUUCAAUGAUCUGCCUCUCUUUGAUGUGACCACCAUCCACAACUUCAUUGAUGAGUGGUUUGACACGCCAAAUAUCAGCUUUGAAGAUCUGCAGCUACCAAUUGGCCUUAGUGUCGCCUUCCAAGGCGCCAUUGCUUUAGAACUCGCUAUUGCCCAGCGCAUUGUUGAACUGAAGCAAAAGAUUGACUAUGAAAAGGCUCAGUUCAAGAAGCAUAUGGCCAAACUCAGCAUGCAGGAAGUGAAGAACUUCAAGAGUAUGAUGCACGAGCUCAAGGAAGCCUUUGUAAAGAAACGUGCAGAAGCUCAGGGUUCGCGUGAGCGCAUGAAGAUUCUGGCUGACAGAUGUGUGCAAGCCUAUAAUGAGGCUGAGAAGCGCAAGGCCCUUGGGCGUCCUGGCAUCGACCCCAGGAUGACCGCAAAGAAGAAGAAGAAGCCUGCUACGGCUGAACCUGACGCACCAAGGCAGGAAGCAGUUCCUAUUGUCUUCCCAACUAAAAUGACUGGCUCGAAGCCAAAAAUCCGGUCAACAGCUUCAGAGCUCAAGAAGACAAGGACUGCUGAGGCUGAAACUAGGAAGAGGAAACAUUCUGAAGCCUCUCCAACUGCCCCCUCCAAGAAGAAGAGGAAGACCAAGAAAGAUCGGGCAGCUCCCACAGAGCCCUUGAUAGUUGAACCAAUUUCUAUGGUCUAUCCUGAAGCUGAACGCCAUGAACGCCAACUGACUAUCCACGAGCUUGCUUCCACAGAGGCUCAUGAAGCUGAAGACUUUCCAGCAGUUGAUCUCAUCGUUGCUGAAGACAUUGGUCAACAUGACAAUGUAGAAGAUGGUGCAGUCCUUCCUCAGAACAGCAAACUCAUCAGCAUUGGUCGUCCACUGAUGCCAAUUGCACAGGAUGCUUCAUGGGCAGAUCGCCCACAAGAGGAAGAAGACUAUGAGGCCCAACCCACUCCAACUCCACAGGCGUCGCCCGCGUUGCGCAGGCUUCGCAAAGGUCCAAGGCCUCAAGUCUCUGCUGAAGACAAUCCGGCUGCAUCAGCCGCGGAAGAUGAAGUCCCACAAGUUGCCACUCCACUGUCCCACCAAGAAGCAGUUCUCAAGGAGAACGUUCUUGAAAAUCUUGCGGCUACCACAACCACCAAUGAAGCUAAUGUGGAGCCCUCCCCAAUGGAAAAAGAAGACAGCAAAGCCACUGAUCCCGUCACUUCUGUUCCUGAGUCUGCUGUCGGUCCACAGUUCGACUAUCAUGUUGAGCACAGGCCUUAGGUACAGAAGCUAAUCCCAAGAUUGUCAAGGUUCCCAGGUCCUGCAUCAGCACCUGGCUCCUUCUAUAUCAAUGGCUUCAGGGCAGACAACACAUUCUUCGAUAGCUCCAGGAACCCCUACUCAAGGGAAAGGAUAUCAUCUGAUCGGUUCUUGAGCUAUCCUCAGCGAAGCUAUUACUCAUGCAUUCUUUACAACCAAGGUCGCAUCUUCCCACACAAGCGCCUUGACAUUAAAGCCAUAGCUAGUCUGCCCUGUCUGGAAGAAGCUUUGGAUUGCUUCAAGGAAGUUGGACUACUGCCGUUCGUUACUGAUCAAGAGCAUUGGAAUGAAGAGCUGCUGCUCCAAUUCUAUGCCACACUUCACAUCCGCGGGUACAGCAGAGAUCCGAAGAUUUGGGUCCUGGAGUGGAUGACCGGAAAUGUUCAUCACGAAGCCAAUGCAUUUGACAUCAUUGAGCUCACUGGUUUGCCCACUCCUGACGAUCUCUACGAGCAUGGCUGUCAGCUGCAUAGUGAAGCUAUUGAGAGCAUCUUUAAGAGGUCGGAACCUGAUAUGAGUCAGAUGCUCAGCAUGAUGAAGCCAUUGCCCCAAGAUGCUGCUUAUCCAACAGAGUUCUUCGUUGAAGACCUUGAGUAUUUGCCACGAACCAUCUAUCACAUCAUCAGGCGAACUCUCUGGCCCAUCAAAGGGCACUCUCCAAAUGCCAAGCUUGAGGGUGCAAUAAAGACUUUGGUCUUCUAUAUUCUUCAUGGAAAAUGCUUCAAUGCACAGGACUUAUUCAUCCGCCAACUUGCUGCAUCGGGCUCUGAUCUGUUUGGUUUGAAGUUCUACGCCCCAUGGGUAAUGCGGCUAAUUAAACUUCACUCCGAUAUCUCAUAUCAGCCAUCUGCUCGCAAUCAUAGGAUUUUUCUGCCUAAUGUGGAUAUCUCUACUGAAGCCAUCUAUCCUGACCCUGCAAAGGAACCUCUAAGUCUUCAGAAUGCAGAGCAUCAGAGUUUCUCACAGAAUAUUGAAGGAGUUGAAGCAGUCACUCGGGUGUAUCCUUUGGCUGGCACUACACGUGCACCACACCCUGCGUCUACUGAAGUCACUGAUAGUACAACUGCUCCAAGACCCAAGAAGCGCACUCGUGUUCUCAACGACCGAGAGCUUCUUGUGGCUCUUCAUCAGAAACAGGAUAGGUAUCAUGACUGGCUGAAGCAUCAAGAUGAAAAGCCUCUUGGUGGAAGUUAAUCGCAUUCGCAAUCUUGCCACCAAGAAUGCUUUCGUUGCCCAUGAAACAUGUCGCCGUACAUGGAAAGGGCUAACGAUGAUGUGUUCUGAAGAUGAUCUCCAAGAGGAUGGCUUCACUGAGCGAUUAAAGUUUGACUCCACACCUCCUCGAAGAGCUGUGCUGCUAGGAACUCCACACCUUGAAGACUCUGAGUUCUCUUCAUCUGCUGCAACAGUGACUGCCAGAGUUAUCGAGGAUGAAGAUAAUGCUACUUCACCACCACCUCCUUCAGCACACGUCAACUCUGCUCCAAGCUCUUCAGCACCGCCAAACACCACCAACGACCCUGCUACUUCACCUAUUCCGCAUGGGAACGAGUAGAUGCUCUAUGUCUUCAAACCUUUUUGGUCCUUACUGACAAAAGGGGGAGAAGCAUAUGAGGUUGAUAGUCUUCAAGCGGGUCCAUAUGGGCGGGUGCUUUAUAUUUUGCUUCGUGCUUACAACUCUCGUUUUGCUACAUUUGGUUCUUUGAGUUGUAACACUUAAACUCGAUGGUUGUCUGCUACUUAUCUGCCACUUUGUUUUGCGAUGAUAAAUUCCGCAUGUGCGACGAUAAAUUCCGCACUUAGAUCAUUCUACAGACGUCCAUUUUCCAUUAUGCAUGUCAUUAUCUUCAUAUACUUUCACAUGCAUAGUGGAUUGUCAUCAUAAGUUGAAGUGGAUCUCCAUAAGUACAACCUGCCAUGUGCAUUUGCAUUCCAAAAGCAAAUUACCUAUAUGCACAUCUUCAGGGGGAGCCCUUGCAACUUAUGAAGACAAUUCCUUAUCCUUUACAAUUUCACAGAUUAUAUUCCCCGUUGAAAACUUCAACUAGUUUGUCAUCAAUCACCAAAAAGGGGGAGAUUGUAAGUGCAUCUAGUGCCACCUCUAGUUGGUUUUGGAGUAUUGACGACAAACCUAGUUGAGGGACUAAUGUGUUUGUGAGAAUUGCAGGAUAACACAGGUAGAAGUCCCUCGUUGAUUCGGUUUUCCUACCAGAGAUGACCCCUAAAAAUGUAUGAAGACAUUGAAGUCAAAGGUGGUAUAUGAAGAUAUUCACAUUGAAGACUAUGACAAGAGAAGACACCACAAGAAGCCUAUGGAGCUCGAAGACUUAGAUCUUUCGUAGUUCUUUUUCUUUUGUGUUGAGUCAUAGGAACCACCGUACUGUUAAGUAGGGUCCAAGAGAACCAGCCAGACUGACUGAAGUGAUGCCUAACCAAAAACCUAUGUCUUCGAGUGAAGACUAUGAGAGCGAAUCUUGUCCAGAGUCGGACAAGUCAGCUUUGCUUGUAGCCCAAGUAAAGUUGCCGUGUGAGUUUGAAAUCUGACCGUUGGAACACGUGUUAGUUCCUUAGUGACCCAGGGUCAUUUCGGACAAAUCAGGUCGGGUUGCCAAGUGGCUAUAAAUAGCCCACCCCCCACAACCAUAAACGGUUGGCUGCUCAGAUUGAGAUGCUCAGAUUGAGAGUACGGCUUUUGUCGUUUGAGAGCAACCCACCUCGAAGCCUUUGAGAGAGAAUUCCUUGCGAGGAUAAAGCCCUAACCACCCAGAGCCAGAGAGAAUUAGGCAUCACUUAAGUCUUCUUCUCUGUGUGAUCUGAAGACUUAUUACACUUGAGGAUUGUGCAUCCUCCAGCCGGUUAGGCGUCGCGUUCUGAGCAUCCAAGAGACAUUGUGGAUUGCCGGUGAACGAAGUCUGUGAAGGUUUGGGAGUCUACCUUGAAGACUUACCAGAGUGAUUGGGCGAGGUCUGUGUGACCUUAGCUCAAGGGGAAUACGGUGAGGACUGGGUGUCCUGAGCUGCGUGUUCAGGACUGGGUGUCCGGGACUGUGUGUCCUAAGGUUUAAAUACCUAGCGGCCCCAAUCAGACGUACAGUUGUCACAGCAACUGGAACUGGUCCAACAAAUCAUUGUUUUCAACGAGUCACUGGUUUCAUCUUCCCUUCCCUUUACUUACUGUUGCUCCUUGUGAAGUCAUUGUAUGUUUGCACUAUCUUUUGUCUUCACUGAGUGACUGCAUGCUCUGUAUGGCUUCAUAAUAUCUUCCUACCUGAUCCUUACUACAUUGCUGCUAUUAAGUCAUUGUGCUUUCACUUCAUUAAACACUUGACUAUGGCUUGCCUAGUGUAGUCUACCUUCCGCUGCAUGGUAAUAGGUUUAUUUCUAUCGUUUGUCUUCAUAACUUCCACGUUUUGAAGACUUUCAUAAAAAUCGCCUAUUCACCCCCCUCUAGUCGAUAUAACGCACUUUCAACACUGUCAACAGGGGCAAUUCCUGUAACUAUACCUACAAAUGAAGACAGUACAGGUGCAGCAAAAUGAUCUCCGUCCUGUUCUCUGAUGCACAAAUUACUUUAUUUUGAAGAAGAUACAUUUGACUCAUGAAUAUGAUUUGCUCAGGAGCUGUGGAUCCAGCGCCUCAUGUAUCGCCUGCCAACACACUAACAACAGGUACAAAAAAUGAAAAAACCCCACACAUUACAAACAUAUGCUGUUCUAUGCAUGUAACUGACCAAAUGUACUAUGCACACAGCUCCAGGUAUCAAUAACCAUGGAGAUCGUGGCCCACAUCCGACAGAUCAAGAUGUAAUCCCAGCCCCAGAGUAUGGAAGUGGCACACAAGUGAGUGGUGGUACGAGGCCACGCCUAACUCGCGAAGAGUUGGGCAAGCUGCCAAUGGAUGAAGUAUGUUGUGAACCACCAGCAUCUAAGAUAACCGGAAAUGAGGAUUAGAUAGAAAGAGACGGCAUGCUGGCAUGGGAGAUGCACCGUAAGUAGACACGGGGACAAAAACUAAAAAAAUGAAAACCUACAAUCAAAAUGCUUACAAUUAAUAUGCUGACUGCUUUAAAUCUUGCUGUACCUGUCAGGCGCUGAAUUGGAGGCUAAAUAUCCUUUAUCACGCGGAGGGGGUGGCGUUGGGAUUACCAAUCAAUCAGGUAAUUUUGUUUGCCAUGAUUGAAAAAGUUGUUGCUUCCAUUACCAAUACAAGUGUUCAAAUAAUAACAAAAACUGAUCCCGCUGAUACAGGCAGAGACAAAAACAGAGGUUUAUUUGCUCGGUUUCAGAGAGGGGGGCGAAGUUUAUCACUAAUCAACAAUAUUAUUGGAGGCUUGUCCAUGCCUACGCUAACAACAAGCCCUGAUGCAGUUGUAACAGCAGAAGCGGUUGACCUAAUCCAACAGCCUGUUCCAUCGGUAAAAGCUGAGCACACCGGAGAUAGGGUCCUAUUUGAACCACCAAUGGCAGGAACUGCUCCAGGUUCCGCAACGAUUGCCUUUUAGAUGACACUAUAUUUGCAUUACAUUUUAGAGCCCCAAACUUUGACUUAUUUGUAAUUAUCCUAUUUUCUGUAUGUAGUUGGAAUUCUGCCAGGACAUGUGCACAAUGACGUGUCGACAGGGCACGAUCCUACUCCACGAGGUACUACGUUCAAUUAUCAGCAUAAAUUAUAUUGUAUAUUUUCCAAGGUUGACCCUCGAGAAAAAGAACUAAAAGGUGUUCUUGCUUGUUUGUAAUGUUGGCAUGCGAUCAAGUGGCUGACACUGACGAUGCUUACGCGUUACGCCUACAAGCUGAAGAAUAUGUUGUUGAUAGUGAGUUCCUGACACUUCCGCAUAGUGGUGUCACAGAAAAGAUUUUGUACUACAUACUAACAUUUAAUCAUGAAUGGAACAGUUACAUCUACAGUAGCUAACGCGGGGGGAUUGGAACAAAAUGCCAAUGUACUUUCAGAACAAAUAGGAUCUCCAAUUCGUAAGUGUGGUGCUGAUAUCUUUCCUGAACAGUGAGAAUUCAUAAAAUCCUUAAGCUUUCAUAUAAACAUAAUGACAUAUUCUUUUUGAUACAGACAACAAUGAAUAUGAAGGAGAAGAGCCAUUCAUUGAUGACUCAACAAGUGGAGACGCGUUUGGUUCAUACUCUGAUAGUCCUUCACGCGGUGACGAUUUCGAUUGGGAUGCAUACGUGGAGGAUUUGGAGUCGAACCUGCAGCAUGAGCAAACCCAACAAGAGACAGCUGACCACAGAUUGGCUGAAAAUCUCCAGGCGUUGUAUGAGGGGAACGGUUUGUGCCUCGCAUCCAUGACCAGCUUCUACUUGUGACCCCAUUUGUAAGUAAAAAAGCUCAUGGUGAUACCCCCUGGGUUUUUCCUCAGCUGUCGCAGCCGACGGCGUCAACAACGCCACUACUCCAGCUGGUGAUGUUCUACAAACUGAAGCACAUAAUGAAAUAAAUGCUCCAGCGGUAACAACCAGGCGUUGGCUUACUGUUGUUGAUGGUACGUACUCACUACAUAUGGAACUGAAAACAAUCUAAUGCAUGCCUCAUCAUCCAAGAACACUAACAAUGAACUUCUGUGUGGCAGGAAUAGUGGCAGUGGGGUCAAGUCCAAGCGAUGGACAAAGCAUCAUAGAACAUGAAGGCGCCGGUGACGGGACCGAAACAAAUGAAGAAGAAAGGCACAAUAAUAGUGAUUGCUACUUGAAACCUAUAGUGUAUGUACAUUACAAGUAGCUCCACUCAUACUGAUUCCCAUUAAAGCAAAUUCCAUCUCGUGUUUUCAGUGAACAACAGCUCUAUACCUAUGAGUAGCACUCCUGUGCCAGGAGGCGCAACACAUGAUGUUGUUCCAACCAUCAGCCUAGAGUAUGUCCUGGAGCGCAGUGCUGAAGAGAACAGAGCUAGCUAUUUGCCCAGAAGGAUGGCCACUUUCGAUGAACACUUGGAGCACACCCACCAACAACGCAGGGGGACAGGUGAUGAGGCGAUUGCUAAUGACGGAGGUGUGCUGCUGUUGGGACGGCACGCUACACACCAUGCAGCAUUAGCACGGAAUGUGAUCCCCUCAGGUUUGGUAGCAUUCUCUUUACAAAAGUGUUGCUAUGUUGAUUCAACAUGCAUUACUCAGCGGUCUUCUGGCCUGUAAUCUAACAUUCAACUAACUCGUGGAUGCCAAAAAUGCAGUCCGUGAACGAGGAGAGAGCUCAGCUGGUCCAAUGCAUCAUCAACCAAGAAGAUGGGACGAUGGUAACUAUAACACCUCAGCUAUACUAUUUUCUUUUGCGAAUAAAAGUGUCCCCGCUGAUUUUGAUGAUGAAUGCGGAACAGGGGUGCAAGCAAUGAAUGCUGAACUUAACAGAGGCCAAGAUCCCCCAAACGUUAGAAUUCAGUGGGGUGAAAGAUUCCCAAGGCACGUCGGCUUGUCACAUGACGAGCCACCCCCACAAUCUGUCCUGCGCUUCUAUGAUGAAAUGUUGACAGGGAGCGACAUGAAUCUUUCAAGGUAAAAAAUCUCUAUACCUAUAAUACCCUAAAACGAAUGAACAACUAGGCUUGUAGUUCUAAAUUUUGCAAGGAACAAACAACCAGAAAUCUAUCUCAUUGUUUGUGAAAGAGAGAAGUCCACAUUUCAACCUCGAACUAGCCACUCGGUUUGAUUUGCAACCCCCAACUUUGAAACCGGUCGAAAUACACCCCAAACUAACCACGAGGUCCAAAACACAACCCUAGUCUCGGUUUUGUGUCUGCCAAGCGGUUUUGACCGAAGUCAACGCUGACUGGACUGCUGACUAGGCACCCAGGAAAUAAAAAAACAAGAACCAAACUCUACCCCCUCUUCUAUCUCUCUCUGCCGAUGAGUAAAAGGAUGCAUGCAGCCGCCGCAGCUCGUUCUCUCUAUCUCUGUUCAUCGCCCAGCCACCCCUGCCUCUGUCUGCCGUCGGCGGCAGCCUACAUCACCUGCAACCUGCAACCGGAACAGCUGCUCUAGCUGCUCGCAAACAACCAGUCCGCGGCGCCUAGGCAGCACCGAUGCAGUACCUCCGUCCGUCGCCGUCGCCAGACAACACCAACUGCAGCCUCUAGCUGGAAGCCUGGAACAGCCGUUCCGGGCCGCCGUCGCCUGUAUAGGAAGAUGACGACCGGGAGGAUACUAUGCUCUCUGCCGCCGCCUCGCUGCGUCAACUCCGGCGAGAGAUUGCCGCCUGAGGAGAUGGAAACCGGUGCCUCCGAGCACGAUUGUACGGUUGCCUCGCCACUACGAACCUCCCGCGCCAUCCCACGGAAGAAGACGACCAAGGAAACACCGAUCCUGACGAGAACCGCACUGCCCUGUCAUCUUCGUCAACUCCGGCGAGCCCUCAUGGACGGGAUCUCCUCGGAUGGACCUCGAAGAUCCGGACAAGCCUGUCGUCCGGUACUGGCUGAAGGGUGCCGACGCCGUUGACCUCGCCCCCGAGCUGCUUCAAGUUGGCGGCGCUGCUGCAUGGUCGGGAAAGGGGCACUGCGUGAUGGACGGCGGGGAGUGGUCGGGGAGGGGCGUCAGCGGAGCUCGGGACGGCAGUGUUGGAACCGGUCUUUCAGGUAGUAGUGCAUGCACAAACGUGCGUGCUGUUGCUGUGCCAACGCCCACGAUCUGCAUGCUACUACUCAUUUCUAGGGGUGGUUAGCCUGUGCAUAGCUAAGUUAGUUAAGAUAGCUGUGUACCGUGUGUAAUCUCUGCACUGAGUGAAUCAAUACAGUUGUCCUCACUUCACUUUCUACAGGCAGCGGCAACAGUAGCAAGGACCGAGUCCAGCAAGGCACGGGCAUCCAGUACCCGGCGGCGGAGAGAGAGAGAGAGGGGUAGGAGUGAGAGAGAAGUUUUUUUUAAAAAAUUUCCUGGGUGCCUAAUCAGCAGUCCAGUCAGCUUUGACUUUGGUCAAAACCGCUUGACCGACACAAAACCGAGACCAGGGUUGAGUUUUGGACCUCAUAGUUAGUUCGGGGUGUAUUUCUACCGGUUUCGUAGUUCAGGGUUGUAAAUCAAACCGAGUGGUUAGUUCGAGGUUGAAAAGUGGACUUCUCUCUUUGUGAAACAUUUUGCAGGAAGUGGUUCCGUCACUUUGUGUUCCGUGUUGCGGUGAUGUCUGGGCACGACAUACAACAAGAAUUCAGGCAUGGGGGCAAGAUAAGCCGUGUGGGAUGGAGGUGCAUCUACAAGAUGCUCUCAGAGAAGGAGCGCAGGAUGUACAAGGACUGGCUGGACCGAUGGAGGGUUUUCUUCGACCCAGUGUUUGCGGUGAGACAAAAACAGGAUUUUAAAACAUCCUUUGAGCAAAACUCUAAUGGGUCCAGCAUGCAUAUGGGUCCUGCUUGACUAAUUCGACAUUGCUACCACAGGAUGAGCUCCUGAACCAUGAGUUCGACAUUGAUCUGGACCUGAUAAGGGAGAUGCUAAGCCAAAAUCAUGUAGGGUGCAGAGCUGACUGGGCAAAAAUGGUAUGUUGUCCUAUCUUUAUCACUUCUUACUUCGCAUAUUCCUUAUCACGUCAUGUUCCACUCCUGUGCAAAAAUGAUUCUACUGAAAGAAAUUCCACUCCUAUGCAGUUUAUGUUCCCUGUGUGGCUUGCACGUACCUGGUCUCUCUAUGUGCUUGACAUAGAUCAUAAGAAAAUCUUGGUGAUGGACCCUAUGGAGACCAUGAGCGGUAACAUGAAGCUGAAGCAUGAGGAGAGUGCGAAAUUGUUUCUUAAAGGGUUCUGCUGGUGUGUAAACAAUAUCUACCAUGGCGGUUUGGUUGGAUCCCUUGGUUGGACCUUCAGUUACAAGACUGGAAUGCAUCCUCCAUGCUCGAGGUAAAGCCCGGACGUAUAAACCCCUAUACGAUCACUAACAGAUCGUUUUAUGUCGCAUACAAAACUUAAAUUCUGACUAUGUCUUACACAGGGAAAACAGUGGGAUAUACAUAGUGCACUACCUCAGGGAUUACAACGGCCUUUACAUCCGUACACUGACUAAUGUAAGCAUAUGUCUUUGCAUAAAUCAAAGACACACACACAUCGACAAGGAUUAAUAUGAACUGUUUGGUUGAAAUGCAUAGGGAGAGCUGGAGUACUUGAGGAAGAAGCUGGCCUACGAGAUAGUUGCGAUGAGAGGCAACAAGGGUGACUUCCCCGACUUCAUGUACCUGGAGAUCCUUGAGUGAAUGCUGACAGGGAAUCGUGCAACUGCGUCAACAAUCCUUUUGGUGAAGAAGUAGACCAUGAACGACCUUUUGGGAGGCAAAAAGGACUACAUCCAAGAGCCAGGCAAAUAGGCGUGCAUUUCAUCUGCCGUAGGCUGAACUACCGUACUGCUUUAAUAUCUAUUUUAUGUUGAACUAAGUACGAAGUGUGACCCCAUCGGAUCUGUGGGGGGCUACCUUAUAAAUCCAGUUCUAGUUGUACGUUGAACUUAAGUCUGUAGUGUCCGUGAACCAAUAUCGCCUGGGAGUGAACUAAUGUGUGGGCUUCUAUUAGCGUAUAUGAAAGUCCUUAAAGCGAAAACGACUACUUCCAUCUGCCAUGGGCUGACCUAUUUAGAACUGAGUAUUAACUGUGCUGCUUUCUGGGCUGGGGAAUCGGGGCUAGCUUAAAGAUACAUUCGAAGUUAAAAGUGAACCAAUAGCGCACGGGGGGUGGACCACCUGUCUACGUAGGCAAGAAAAAUUCAUGAUUACUCAGCUAUUUUGUGUGAAUGGUGUUACUAAUUGCUAAUCGCAAACACUCAUGGGGCUACCAUCUGGUCAGUUUAGAGAAGAAAGAGAGUCGAAGCUGCUUUGAGACAGUAUGACUGCCCGCCCUACAUUUACCAUAGACAAAUGGGAUUAAUUUUAAUUCUCACUUGCAGCGGAAAACGGAAAAAAUGGUUCCUCCCUAGGUUAUAUUUCUUUGGCACAUGAUAACCCAUGCAAACAAAAAAAGGUUCUCAGGGAAAACACCACAAUCAGUUGUGGCCAUUCGUACUAAGACGUGAUCACUUCUCAUGAAUAAAAAGGACCCACACGAAUGGUCAAUUACUGCUAAAAAUAGCAUACAUAAGGGAUGUCAGGUUUCAUACUCCAUUUAACGAAAUGGUGUUGUUCCAGGGUCAUGUUGGAGUGAUACAGAAGCACGUAUGGCAAACAUAUCAUUUCAGCAUAAAAUGCGAUAUACCCCCAACACACAACCCCCGCCGCGUCCCCAAACUAAACAAGAUGUGCCCCGCAUCCACUAGGUCUCGGAGUAGGAGCCGAAGCAUGAAUCACUGGGAGCUAGUGCUGCCCACAAUGCAUCUCCAGCUUUGGAUGUCUGGUUUCCCUGAAGCUUCAAGCACUCAAACAGAGCUUGCUUCUUGGUUUUUGCUAGGUUGGGCUGUGCAAUGAGAUUGGUCCAGCGUGAGGCGGUCGGUUCAUCCACAAAGUCACUUCAUUUGCAUUAAUUAACAAAAAGAAAAAAAUCCUAACAUCUUCAUAUCAGGUUACCUUCGUUAGUGGCAGCAUCAUCUUUCUGCCAUCAUAGUGCCGUGCAAUGUGAACUACGGCAAUUCCAGAUUCCUCCCUGAUAAAAUAUAAUAAAAACAGAAGAAAACAUCAUUAGUGUUAGUUUUCACAGUACAUCGCUCGUAUGGUAUGAUAGAAAAAAAGACAUGCUUACUUGCAGAAAUUGGUGUCCGUGAGAGCAGGGAAGACAGUUCUCCAAUUGUCUUCCACGACAGGCCACCCAGCAUAAUACUCAUUCAGGCAGUUGAAUAAAGCAUUGUGAAGCUUCCGUUCUACCAACUCCUGACGUACCUUCACUACUGGGUUGGUGCUGUGGCGCUGAACAAGAGGGUCAAGUACAUGGAUAAUCUUGGCAAUCAUGUCCCACAUCAUGAGUAACCACCCAUCUUGUAAUGGCACCGGCAACAGAAACUUCGGUUCGGAUGACAAACCAGCAGCAAAAUAUAAGACAAUAGUUAGCACAGACCAGCAAAACAUAGAACUUCGUCUGCCGGGGUAAACUAGAUAAAGACUAUAUUCAUUCAUGUACCAUUUGAGCUGUCGUGAUAUCAUACGGGUGGCAUUCACCAGUUAGCUGUUUCUGAAUGGAAAUCGAGUACGUGUAGUCAUGAUAGGAUAGCGCAAGGGUUUGCAAAAAAGAGUGAAAAAAUGAAUAGAAGUAACUCCAUUAAGAUAACCAUAGACUAGUAACUACGACGCGGACCACCGCGCUUCGUAUGUAAUUUACCGAUAAAUCUGCUUCAAGGCUGUGCCGCCAACUGAGAUAUGGGGAAUCCCGAUUACAUUCUGCAUGUGCUUGCAUAAACCGCCGGAGGAUAAUACACAUUAGCUCAUGGUCUAGCAACCUUUCCCCCACGAGCUGCUGCUUUAGUGCUAGACCAGUAACUCUAAUGUACCGUGGAGAAUCAUGGAUGAUGAACAAACUGAAAAAAAUGUCACAACUACAUAUAAGUUAACAAUGUCAAGAUUCGCAACUAUCUUCACCGGAUAAAUGAAAAAUGAAAAAUAAAAGAGCACACAUGUGUCAUCUCUUACCUUGAGAGCACUCCGGGCUGCGCAUUGUUGAAGUAGUGCUCAAUUUGCUCGGCUACAUCCGGCAGUGGCGGGUACGGCACACACCCACGCCCCCACGGAUCAGUCGCGUACCCAUGUUGAAAGAUGUAUUUCUGUUUAGGCAGGGUUUUGUUGCUCUGACCAAAAACUACUGCUGUAAAAUUAGAGGGCAGGUCCGCAUACAUCUCAGCGAUUGCCCUGAAAGUGGACUUGCAGAACUCAGUGACCUCCACUACGAUCUCGUGCGGGAUAGCCAAAUCAACAUGCACUCGCUUCACUGUAUCAGCACGACACAGGGGCUGGGCGCUGCGUUUAGCACCAGCGCUGCCUUCAUCUGCUGGGGUUUUUGCUUGGAAAUGCAAAAAUGCAAAAUAAGAGGCCAGACAUCAUUGGUGGUCCAGUACGACGAGAGUAUUUGAACUACAUGAAAAACGGCAGUAUUGACUUUGCUUAAAAACUUAUUCACCUCCACACCCUGAUAGGUCCAGCCUUCGGCCAUCGAUUUUGCUUGUUACGGGGGUGCUGAACUGCUCUCGCACAUGAUUGCUCACUGAUGAUAUGAAAUAACAAAGAUUGGAGGAGCUUUAGCAACCGUACCUUCACUAGUUGAUAACCAAAAGAAAGAAAGAAAAGAAACUUGUUUUACCUGUACCUCCUAACGGACAGUCUGCAAAACCCCUGGCAGGGCAACAGACACAACGUCGGCUCAGCGAUGAGUACAGAUCAUCUGCUAACUUCAGCAUGUCUUUCAUGAUGCUCUGCCUUGCGUUUGCUAGAUGAAGCAAAGCUCUGGUAUUGUGCUUCUUCAGUAGAAGUGAUAUCUCAUCUGCAACCUGCGGAGGCAAAUGAAACGAAAUUGCUAAUGCAUCAGUCCUAACUGCUACAGAUAUCAAACAAAAAAUGGUUGCCCAAGACCCGUAGGGAAUAAAAAUUGGACAAUAAAAAAGGCAACCAGUUUCGGAUAGUGUUGACGCAAAUAAUUGCCAAGGUCCAUUGGUCCUAUGUCACCCAUUGGUGCGGAAAUAGGAACUGGUGCGCCAACGGGCGCGUCAGCGUGUUCAACACUAGGCGUCUGGACAGGUUGCGCAACAUAGGCUCCACCGCUUUUUUUGUUGUGAGAUCUAGAUGUGCUGUGUGAAGUCUUCACAUUUUUUUCCCGGCACUGACCCCACAUGUAGCACACAACUGAUGGGUCUCGUAACUGAAAAAAACAUGACAGAGCAAGAAAAUGUCGGUUAAACAUGCAACAUUCUUUUCUAUGCUACAGAAAAGGACCAAAAAGAAUUUAUAAUUGACCACUCACAGGUGCAUACGACCACGAAUUUGCCGACUUUAUUGGAUCAGUUGCCAUGAUGAUCAUAUUUCGAAGGCAAUCGGCGUCAAAAUCACUUAUACGAGGAAAUACAUCGUGCUUCUUGUUGAACGUACCAAGGUGCAGGCUAUCAAGGGUGAAAAUCUGAUGACGAUAUGCACAAAAUCAAUGAUGAAUUAAAUGCAUCCUCCAAAGUUGGCAAAAAGAUCAGAUUGCCUGUAUCAUGCAUAUUGCGGGCUGAUUCUCACCUGAUAGAAAAGAUGACAUCCUGUAAGGUUCGUGUUUAAGUUAUUCAAGAUAAUGUCCCUCUUGAGCUUCCUCACAGCAUCCAGCAAAGCGUCUAGCACAUACUGGCACCAGUUAAACUGUGCAAUGUUUUCUGUACUGGCCAGGGCUCCCCAAAAAUCAAUAGUUGCAUAGUCGUACUUCGUCUUAGGCACAAGAACAAGACCCAUCACAAAAAUAACAAAUGCAAUUUGGAAGCAGUCCUUCUCCAGCUUCGAUGAUUCUUCCGUGAUGUCCCUGAGAAGGAAUUCCUCUACUGCACGCAAACUAUGGACGCCAGUACGAUUCAUGCCAAUAGUAUUCUUGAUGAACUUUAUGGCAUCGGGGUUGAUCACGGCAUCACGACCAAUAACUUUUCGCUUCCCACAUGGAAUCCCAAACACCUUGUGCACAUCUUCAGCCUAGAACCUAAGCACCUUCGACUCUGUUAGAAAGAUAGCUCGGCGACUGACGCUAACCUUUCUCAUUAGCCAUGCACUGUACUUUAGAUUCAACUUAUGCAGAAGUGGUAACUUGAGCAUUCCUCCAAAACCAAUCUCCUCCACAAGCCACCUCUUAUAGUCAGAGAACUUCUGUAUGACCACAACUGCAUGCUUGACAGAGAUCCUUGAUGUAGCAGCCGGUGGAUCCCCAUCAUCAGCACUGAAUGUGGCUUGCACUAUGUCAGCCGGCUGCAUCUCCGCAUGCCGGUCAUCUCUGUUGGAUCCUUCCAUCGAAUCAUUCCCACAACUACCUAACUCCGACAUUGUGCCUAUAGACCAAAAAAAUCAACCAACAUAAGAACCCAAGCUGGCGACAAAAACUGGCAUGUGGAGCAGGGUUGCGAAAAAAUCUUACCUCCACCGGCGGAGGCGACGCCGCUCAGAUCCGUCUCCGUCUAGCGCGUUUCACCACUUUGUCUCGAAGAACAUCGGUAGGAACUUCGCCAAAUCUACAUUGCCCAAGCCCUUUCUGCUCCAAAGGGUGCUCGAGGCCUGGCAGCAGGAUGGGGAGUGGUGUUCUGAGGUUAGGUGAGCGGUGUCCAUAACUUAUGCAGGCCCUCCUAUGUGAUGAGUUGUAUCACACUACGGACGGUUUGGGUUGUGCAUUUAGUCACACCAGUAUGCCAGCUGCCACGUGUUGAACAUGAGGCAUGCAAUCAUGACUGUAUUAGGACUAAAAAGUGAGUAACAGGCGCGAUUACGAGAAAAUGAAACACUAGCACCCGAGAAAAUUGGGUCCUGGAGAACGAGGUGAUUCAUUGUGCGCGUGGCGAAGCAACUGAACGUCGACAACCUUAAACUUGCAAAAAUCGAAGGAGGUAAAAAAGGAACGCCAUUCUAAAAAUAUAAGCAGUUCCAGCUAGACAUUCAUAUAUCAUUAAGGGUGCAGCCGUUAAAGUGCACAACACAUUACAACUGCUGGUCGCUUACAAGACUUUGACCACAUUUUCCAAAAUACUAAAACAACAUCGAUUAGUACUAUGGGGUCGAGUACAAACACUCGAAUUCAGCAUCAGUCCUACUCCUGCAUCCAAACCACACUAGUAGGAGGGGCGUCGAGUACAAACACUCGAAUAUGGACAUUGCUUCUGUCCUACGGCAGCAUCUAAAUCCAAACCUCACUGGUACUACUAGGUUCCACACAUAACAAAUCUACUGGCUGUUUCCGCCCAGAUACACCAGCAGAACCACGCCUAAUGCGAUUAUGGUGACCAGCAGGUUGGCGCAGCCCACCAGCAGGGUUGCCGCAGCAAUGACCCCCUGCAGAUCUACCGACUUGCGCACAGCCAUCCUGCCGAUGGGUGCCCGCUGCUCCUGGGCCUGUGGGAUUGCAGGAUUCCCGGCCACGAUAGGCGCAGCACCGCCUCCGCACCCUCGACCGCGCCCUACUCCACGCCC